rnacentral:lncRNA from 1 species
AUAUUUAUUUAAAAGUUAAACGAGCGAAAAUAGGGAGAGUAAGGUUGAAUUAGGGAAUAGUAAAUUGUGAAUGUGUUAGAGAGCUUGUUAAUUAUUUAAAUAAAAUUUAAAAAAUCCCAAAUGAAAAGGUAAACUUCAAAAAUCAUCUCUGUGGUUUCGGACGUUCUCACUAUAGUACCCUGUGGUUUAAAGUGUAUCAAGUUUGUGUCCUGUGAUUUUAUUUUUAUCUUUUCGUCAGCUUUUCUGUUAAUAUUUCGUUAAAUUAUAUAAAAAAAACUUCAGAUACCCCAUCUAGAUUAAUCGAAUAUUUACUUUAGUACCCUUUAAUUUUAAUUUUGUUAUUGAUUUAACAAAAAAAAUGAGUAAAAUUGAUAAUAAAAAGAUAAAAAUAAAAUCACGAUACACUUUAACCAUAGAGUACUAAAGUGAGAAUGUGUGAAACCAUAUGGGUGGUAUUUGAAGUUUUCCGAAUAAAAAAUGCACGAAGGAGUAUGCCGUAAAUAAUAUCUUGUUAAGGGGUGCAAAAGUAAGAUGGUCUUCCCGCGAUGUGUUUUUCCAUCUUAGUCCUUCAACUUACUUGGUAUUAUUACUCACCCCAAUCUCUAACUCCCUAUAUAAACCAAACGAAACCCAAAUCUUUGGCGCGCUCUUCACUCUCUCUCUCUCUCUCUCCCUCUCUCUCUCUCUCUCUCUCUCUCUCUCUCUCUCAACCGCUCCCAAAUCCCCUUCUCUAGGGUUUCCGAAACCCUUCUCCGCUCUUGCCCAUUUCUAGGGUUUCCGACCUCGAUCCAUCUCUCCAUUUCUAGGGUCUCCGACCUCGGUCCAUCUCUCCAUCUCUAGGCCUUCCACCCGCCUUCGAUCUGAAUGGCUCAAUCGGAUCCCCAUGGCGGAGCUCAAGAACGAUCGGGCGAAGGAGAUCCGGCUCAGCAAUCGGAGUCGCGCACUGGCUCCAAACGCCGACGCCUAAGUGUAGACAGGUGAUCGAAGGAGGCGAUCUUGUUUGUGUCGGGGAUCUCUUAUUGCCACGGAUUAGGACCCUGUUCCCCUGAUCGAUUUGUGUAUAAGAUGUGGGGUUUCUUUAAUGGUGAUUUUUUGCAGCAGUGAUUAUUAUAAACAGGUCCAGAUCCUAUGGCCGGGCGAUUAUUCUUCUGGUGCGUUUUUAUUACAUGGGAUUUCCCUGAGUCGAUGGUUUCUAUUGUUGUUAUUCGAUUAUUGGUUAAAUGUUGUAUAGAUUGUGGUAAAUUGAUAAGAGGUGCUUCGUUGUUCGUGCUUUGAGAAAAUUGGGGCAACUCAGAUUAUUUGGUAUAAAAAGCGCUUUUGUAAUGUCCUUUGAAAGAAAUCUAAUUAGUAGUCCCAUUGUGCUUUUUGGUUGUAUCUUUUUCGUUUUUUAAUAUCUUAUUGACAUAAGACACCAAAGGCCAGUUGGGAUGGCGAACAAGUUAUUUGAUGAUAAGUUGUGCAGCUUGGGUGACGGGGGAAUUUUUCUUUUGCGAUUACAACAUGAGAUUUCAGUUUAGGUUUUUUUGAUAUUUUCUUUUGUGCAAGAAGAAGAAAAAGAAGAAGAAGAUGAAGAAGAAGAAGAAGAAGAAGAAGAAAGAGAAAACGAAAAAGAAAAAGACGAAGAAGAAGAUGAUGGCGAUGGCGAUGACGAUGAUGGAGAAGAUACUGUUGACGGGCCGGGCCGCCACAGGUUUGCUCUUUGAGAUUUUUCAUUCAAUGAAAACUGCUAAUAUGUUAUUUAAAUCUAUUUCAGAGCUUGUUUCAUUUAAGAAUACAAAAGAAGAUUUCUUUAUGCCUUAUUUCUAUUUCUCCAAAAUCAAUAGUGUCUGUAUGUUUAUAGAUUAUGUUUCUGGUAAUAAUUUUGGAUACAUGCUUUUUGAGUGAUUAAUGGGUCAUCGAUAGAACCUUGAAAGCCACUUCACCCUAAGCCAAAUGUCUGUACAAAUUUUUUUACCUCAAAAAAAUUACCAAUGAAAAGAGCAAUUACGGAUAUAAAACAAACAACCAAGAAGCACGCUGCAAACAGUAAUCCUCGGGUCCAUUUUCAGUUCUUCUGCCACCUUUGUGCAUGACUUAAUAGAAUUCUCUGAUGCAAACUAUAUAAUGGCUUGUUUGACUUCAGCUAUCUAGUCAACUCUUUGCAGUUCGCUUUUCAAAUUCAUCUCUUCAUUAGCAUGAUGUUACAAUGAAAUUUCAGGGAGGAGUUUAAGUCAUUCAAGCAUUUUGUUCAAGAGCUUGAAGAUGAUGUAUUGCCAAAUGAAGCAAUAAGGAGGUACUUUUUUACUAUCUGUUUCUUUAUAUAUAGAAUUGUGUCUGGCAAGCUUAGGCCCUGUUUGGGUACUGUUGUCAAUUUUUGUUUCUAUAAACAAAAUUUUAUAUGAUUCAGUGUGCCAACUGGUGGACUUCCCUACUCUUUUCAUUGUUGGCUUACGUGCAAUCCAUCCUGGCCAAAUGCCAAAAGUUGCUACUAUGUUUUUGUUUUCUGUUGCCAAACAAAUCUGUCAACUGUACAGAUUGCAAGCACCCCACAAUCCACCCCCACACUCCUUUGCAUAGAAUGUGUGUUUGUAAAAACAAAAAUGGCAACAAGAUCAAAUUAGCCCUUGGCUUUAGAAUGCUAAUUUGAGUUUUAUUCUGGUUUUCUAGGUAUUCGCUGUACAUUGAAUCUCAGAAAAAGACUUACUUUGAGGCCCACAAGACAGAGGAGUGGUAUAUGAUUUUUAUCUCUUUAGAAUUUUACAUAUACUUUUGAACGAGACUAGAAAAAAAAAAACAAAAAAGGGAAAGGGAAAUGUAACAUUUUCUAUGAUGUAUGCAUGCCUAUUUCUUUGCAAUUAAUAAAUCUGUAUUUUGGUAUAGGCUGAGAAACAAGUAUCAUCCUUCUAAUCUGAUGGCCAUCGUAGAAAGGUGAUCGAUCAUACCCAACAUCUAGAAAGUACUGAAGAACUGCAACAAUUGACAUACCUUAAAGGAUUGCAUCAACUCUUUGCAGGAAGAAGCAGCGUGCAAGGGCUUCAGCAACACAAUUUUUUCGCAAAUUGGAGAACCUACCUCUAGCAAUUGGAAGGUAAGAUACAUCGAAUUAGACUGAAGUUUUGGUGGCUUUAAUUCACACUUGAGCUCCUAAUUUCUUUAAAUAUUUAACAUGCGGGUGCAGCACCUUAGAGCUUAUGAGUUCAUUGUUAGUAACAUGUGAGGAUGAAUCCAGUGCUGAAUCAUCGUUGGAAACUCGACGACUCAUAUUAGACAUAGCACAAACUCAGGCACUUGCUCUCAAGCUUGACACUGAAAAGGGCAUCGAUAACAACAUUCUGUGGCCAAAGAACAGUGAUAUUCACCCAGUUGUUAAACGACUAAAUCGACAUGAGCUCCUUCGUAAUCUGCUAGAGUACCUGUGGUCUGUACAUGGUGUGUCUUACUAUGGCAUUCAGGAGUCAGAGGAAGAUGUUGGCUUUACCGGUGUGCCAGAAGAUGUUCCCCACUAUGAGGAGGACGGCUGGGAAGAGAAGCUCCGCCUGUUUUGGCAGUUAAGGUUGAAGGGUGAAGAUCCUUUGGAACGUAGGGCUGCAACUAAAGAUAUUGAGGCGGCCGUUGACAAGGCCAUCAAUAGUAGUGUUGUGAAAGUGGAGGACGAGAGCAUGGAUUUAAUAUAUGGUUGCGGAGUUACUGCUUGCUCGAGACCUUUCUACAGUGUUGAAUCUGCCUGUGAGCAUCUUAGGGCUAGCCACCCUCUAACCGUCGCAUCGCUGGAAACACAAGUGCAAGGUCAAUUUUACUAUGAAAAUUAUAUGAGGUAAUACUCUUUUUUGAUACCAUUGUUUUCUUUUCGCUUUCCAGAAUUAGGAUAGGUAGAGCAUAUGAUUAGUGAAUAUGAGUUAGGGUUGCUAUGCUUUUAUGAGUAUAGAGCCUUUCGUAUUCAUAAGUUGUUUUCGAUGGUAGAGUUUUCGAAUUGCAGCUAAAUCGAGCCAAUAUGAGUAUCCUCUAGAAAAUUCAAAGUAUCUUCAUCUCAUCUUCUUUUUUUUCUCCCCUGCUGCUUUGGAUAAUCAGGAUUAUCUUCUUGAGAAACCUUGGGACAUUAGAAUGGAUUUUGUUUCUUAAUUGCAGCAAUGCAGUCGCGCCCGCUGAGGAUGACUCCCCAAACCAUUCCGCGAGUUGACCGCGUGCUACCUUACCUUCAUAUGCGUAUCUGGCCACUGAUUUCAAUUUCAUGGAGCGAUAGGGAGGUAACGAAGUCUCCAUUUGCAGUAUCUGGGCAGUAAUGGCCACUUGUGCCUGAUGAGCAACUCCCAUUUUGCUUUCUAGGCUCGUCAGCAACUCGACGCAGUGAAUUCUCUCCUGCAGUGCAUUCUCUCCUGCUCGUAUACAAUCGAGUUAAAUGAAGAGCAAAAUAUUGCCGCUUCUCGACAUCUGUUCGUACAUCCUCGUGAAGUACUGUACAGAUUUUUAACAUCUUCAUUUGUUCCCCUUUAUGUCUGUACAUAAGAAACGUCUUUGCGCCGGUGAUAUCUCUACUAACUGUAUACCGGUAUAGCGUAUAAAUAAUACAAACUAACCUGUACAGUUCCAAGUGGAGGAUGUGAGAACUGGAUAAGAAAGUGUUAGUAAACUGGGACUUCGUGAUCUAAACUUCUGUUUGUCAUGAUUUUCUCUUCCUUGUAAAAAAUGUAUGGGUGGGGCCCUGUACUAGCCUGGUAUUGCAAUUUUGUUCCUGUUCUUUUGACACCGCACACGUCGGGGCAUUUUACUCAUAAAUUAUGUCUCUACUCACUGAUGUUUGACACAGGGUGCCUCUUCCUUUCAUAAACUUUGGAGAUUUAUUUUUUGCAAAGCAAAUAUUUUUUUUUUUUUUCUUCUAGAGUUGGCUAUUAAUUUUGAUGUUUUUUUAAUAAUGGAUUCUCCAAUCUCGGUAUAUUUUAUGCUUGGCACUUUUAGAUAGCUUAAAAUCCAACCAUAUUAAACUUUUAAAUUUAGGAACCCACUCGUUCUGGGUCCCGCCUCCGAACCACGUACUAAAUCCCCACCGUCAACGGUCCAAUCCUAGGGGCAAUUUCGUCAACUCGUUCAUUUUUACGAUCCUACCCCCAUCUGCGGUAAUACAUCUCAUAGGCGCCGCACAAUGGAGAUACGUACUCGGACAAUUUAGUAAUGCAGGGGUAUUUUAGUCAAAACGUCGCCCCGAGAUCCGGUGUUCACUUGGCUCCCACCGCUAUAAAUACGUCGCUCCUCAUCGCGUGCCACGUCAUCUUUCUCUCUCCCUUCUCCCUCUCUCUCCUCCCCUCCAAUCUCCACUUCAAUCAUUGCUCUCUCUCUCUCUCUCUCUCUCUCUCUACACGAUCGAAGGAGCUCGAACUCGAGAUCUCAGGUGAGGAAUCGCCCCCUUUCUCUCUCCCCUCUCGCCGAUUCGUUGUUUCGAUCGAAUUCCCCGUCUCUCUCUCCCUCGAUUCGUCUAAUUCAAAGUGUAAUUUGAGGAGGAUUCGUCUCCUAAUCGCUUGGGACAAAUCUUUGGGUGAAAAUUUGGGGGUUUGUUUUUAACUACGCAAUCCAUUUUGAUUUGUUUCUAUAUUUCGCAAGUAAUCUCCUUGUCGAUCAUUCGGAGCGCGAUCGCAAUUUUAGGGUUUAUUGUGUGAUUCUGUGCGUUGCAUUCGCUGUACUUGUUGCCUAAGAUUUGUUCUUUACUUGAAAGAUAUAGGUUGGGGUUUCUUGCUUGUGACGGAUUGGCAAUGGAUUCUUAGGUUGUAAUGUGUUGCGUGCCCUUGUAGUUUCUCUUGUGGUUUGAUUGAUUAGGUUAAGUACAUGAUAUGUUGGUGUGGGUUGCUACCUUCUGCGAAAUAUUAGGGCUUCAAAGUUUGAGUCUAAUUCAAAAAAUUGAGCAAUUGGCAUGUUAUUUUUAUACAUUUGAAUAUUCGGGGAUCUUCAUUACAUUAUCUACGCUGAAGAGUGUAAAAUGCAUGGAUUUUCCUUUCUUUGUGAAAGGGAGUGAUUGGAAAUACUUUGUGAAAGUGAUGCAUCUUUCUUUCUUUAUGAAUAACAUGUUACCUUUGAAGAAAAAAAAAAAAGAAAAAAAACUUUGCGCUUUUUGUGUUGGUUGUUGCUGUCGUUAUUUUCACUGAUCAAUAUCAGCAUAGAUUCUUAUUUAGACUUAUAAAUGACAAGUUAAGGAUUACAUAUGCAGGGUUACACAUAUUUGUGUGGAGAUUCACAAUUAUAUUUACUCUUGAACAAUCAUUAAAAUAAAGAGAUCAAGCUUUUCUGGGCUUCUUUUUUAAUACCAAGAGGAGGCACGAUAAGCGAGUGAUCAUUCUCGUUGCCAUGGUAAUCUAUGCGGAGAUUUCAGUUUCUGUACAUUCAACAAACUUAAGUGUACAAUUGAAUGGAGUUGCUUUAUCACUCUGUCGCUGACACAUUUAUCUCUUACUGAAGGCGACCAAUGAGAAUCUUCCGCCUAAUGUUAUCAAACAACUCGCUAAGGAACUUAAGAAUCUCGACGAGACACCUCCAGAAGGGAUAAAAGUGGUCGUUAAUGGUGACGACUUCUCUACCAUUUAUGCCGAUAUUGAGGGUCCUGGUAAGACAAUGGUCAUAAGAUUUUUUUUUUUUUUUUUUCUUUUCAUACCUUUAGUUGCUUCAGAAAAGGACUGCUUUCUACAACUCAAUGAUAUGCAGCUGGGACUCCCUAUGAGAAUGGCAUAUUCCGCAUGAAGCUGUUGUUGUCUCGUGAUUUUCCCCAGUCUCCUCCAAAAGGUUUUAUCUUAAACUCUUGUCACUGGAAAUUGAUCCGCUCGAGAUCUUCUAGGCUUUUAGUGUUGUCUAUCCUUUUACAGUUAAUUACAAUUUGAUCCUGGGAAGUUGAUCUCUAUUUCAAUUUUGUCCUCGUAGUCUUAAUUAUAACAAUUUGGUCUGUGAAAUUGUUUUGCAUAACAAUGAACUCCUCUUAUUUAUCAUCUGAAAAUGUUGUCAUGUCCACGUCAUGAUUAGACUUUGCUUUGUUAAUGAAACUGUAGGGAUAGAAUUGAGAUUGGGGUCAAAAUGACUAAAAUUUUACUUUCGAAUCUCUAAAAAUAAAUUGAAAUCUGGGUCAAGCUUCAGAGACUAAAUUUUUAUUAACCCUUUUCUUGUAUGGUUGAAUAGGUUACUUUAUGACAAAAAUAUUCCACCCAAACAUUGCGGUUAAUGGUGAGAUCUGCGUCAACACAUUGAAAAAGGACUGGAAUCCAAGUCUUGGCUUGCAACAUGUUUUGCUUGUAAGUUUAGGAUGGCAUGAAUGCCAUAUCCUUGUUGUCGGUGUUGAUUGUGUGUUUUAAAGAACCAUUUUUAUACAGCACUCAACAAUUAAAUGUGGAGAUUUUUUUUGGCUGAAGUGACAGACUGUGCAAUCAAGUCGAAGUUAACUGUAAUAUGCUUUUGACCAACUUUUUUCUGCAUAUUGACCUUUACCUAAUAUGUCAAAUGGUGUCAUGACUGAUAGGUGAUCAGAUGCCUACUGAUCGAACCUUUCCCAGAAUCUGCGCUCAAUGAGCAGGCCGGUAAGAUGUUGCUCGAAAACUAUGAGGAGUAUGCAAGGCAUGCUAGGUCAGCUCCUCUCUCUCUAUCUCUCUCUCUCUCUCUCUCUCUCUCUUCUCCCAGCAAACCCCCCUUCCCCAACCACCCCCCUGCGCGCACAUACCCACACACAAAAACACAUAAACACUUGAUGUGAGUCACUCUCUUGUUAAUCUUGUUAUCGGAAAGGUCCAUCCGACAAGAAAUGACCGAGGAAUGAUCUUAACACUUUCACUAAUGUGCAUGCCAGGAUUAGGACAGUCCAUGCUUGUCGCAAUAAUAGAAGAGAUGAUGGAAGGAAAGUUAAUCCACCAAGUAUCCAUACCGUGGAGUUCAGUCCACAAACUAACAGAACUGAGAGGAUUUUCGAGUAGUUUUGAUGCUGUGUUGCGUAAAAGUUUGAUAUGAUAAGAAACAACACCGAAAUAAUGUUAACAAAUCUAACCUUUUAAAAAUAUUUAGUAGUAGUACUAAUUUUGACCAUAGUAGUUUUUAGGUUAUAGCCAAGAUUGAGACGAUAGUGCAUAUUUAUUUGGUUUGCCUUCUUAUUGCAUGCAUCACAUAGAAAGCCUUUCGUAAGUAAUUUCUCAAUCCUAUACUUCAUAGUUCAAUUUUCUCACUCAUUAUGGCAGGUUGUAUACUGGAAUACAUGCUCUCAAACCUCGCAUAAAGCCAAAGACUGGAGCAAUUUCCGAGUCCACCACAGUGCUUAAUGUGGACCAAACGAACACGGUUCUUAGCGGCAAAUUGCCUCAGGUUGCUACCCCACUUACUUCCCCAGCGGCCUCCAAAGGAUCAGUUUUGAACUCUCAGGACGAAAACGCCAUUAUUGUUCCUUCUUCCGAGGCUGCUAGUGGGGCAUCAGCGGUGCAAAAGAAAGAAGGGGUAGCUGCUGCGAAAAUUCAGAUGGAUAAGAAGAAGAUGGACGCGAGGAAGAAGAGCUUGAAGAGAUUAUAGGAAAGAUUUGGGGUUUAAAAUUUUAGGCUAGAUUAGAGCUUUAUAGGCGCCAAAUUUAUUCGGUGGACUAUUGGGGAUGGUUAUGAUAUGCUGUAUCAUCAUUUGGAUUAGUGUGUAGAGAGGAUGAGUGAGGGGUGGAUGAGUGAGGGGUGGGGGGGGAGAUGUGUCUGAAUUGGAUCUCUCUCUUUCUGUCUUCUUUUAUGCAUUGAAAAUUCUUGGAAAGAAGGCUGCUUCUCAUUCCAAUCUGUACUACUAGAAUUAUCAUACGAGCAACGCAUGUGCGACUGCAUUGGGAAUAGAUUGAGGGUAAUGUGAUCUUAUUGAUGAGAAAAGUAGUCAUUUCAAAUGUGCAUCUUAAUUUGCCAGCAGAGAGGAAGGAAAGAGUGGUCACAAUUGGUAGGAGGAUGGUUCAGAUUCUGUAAUUUGUUAUUGUCAAGUGCCUGUUCAUCUUUCUGUGUGUGAUCCUGUUGUGGGACACUUGUUUGGACUUCAAAGAUGCUUGAGGUAAUCACCUUUCUCCCCCUCAUAAAAACUAUAUGAGGAAAAUAAGAAGACAAUUUGAGUUUUAAUUCCUUGUUUCUAUUGAUGAUAGGUUGUAGUGUUGUUGAAGUAUCAUUUGGCUUUCCUGAAAAUUUAUUUGUUGUUUCUUUCUAUGCCCCAUAUGUAAUCUAACAACCACAUAAAAAUUCAAUAAACUAUAUAUAAUCUUAACAACCUGAAAAUUUUAAUAAUCUAUUCAUAUAAUUUCAUAUAAUUUUAAUAGCUUGUAAAUCUUAAUAAUCUAUUCAUAUAAUUUCAUAUAAGUUUAACCGUCUAAAAAUUCUAAUAAUCUAUCCAUAUAAUUCCAUAUAAUCUUAACAACUGAAAAUUCUAAUAAUCUAUCUAUACAAUCCUAACAAUCAAAUAAAAAUUUUAAUAAUCCACAUAUAAUCCUUACAACUUCACUUGUUUCUAUUUUUUAUAUAAUUCAUACACAAUUUGAACUAAUGAAUACGGCAAACGAUUCACCGCCUUUAGAAGAUAUGGGAUAAUGCGAUGAACGAUUCACCGCAUUUAAAAGAUAUAGGAAAAUACGGUGAACAAUUAACCGCCUUUCGAAAAAAAUCCCAUAUGCCUCCUACGUGGCGAAGAAAGGGUUAAUUUGUCAAAUAUAAAUUGGCAGAGUUAUUUUGCAAAUUAUAAAAUUUUAAAGAAUUAUUUUGUAAAAAAUUCCUCUUAUUUGCUACAUGGACAUUUUGGUGAUCAUGACAAGUCUGUCCUUUUUCCACAUUCAUUCUCUCUCCCUCUCUCUCUCUCUCUCUCUCUCUCUCUCACACACACACACACACACACACACACACACACACACACACAAACAGUAAAGACUCUGCAGUGUGGGAACUUUGCUAGAAAUUCACAUAUUUUGAUUACUCCCACGUAUAGUAGUGUUUGCUGAGAGGAAGGUAUCAUGAUAUUUUUGCUUCAUUCAUUUUUUUAUAUAUAAAUAAACUUAGCUAUAAUUAUGUAGUAACUAAAUUUUGAACUUGGGAUCUCAAAUAUCAAUCAUCAAAUUCCUUACAACUUGCACUCGGAAUGAUCAGUGUCUCACAUAUAAUAGCAAUUAGAGAAAUUAGUGGCACAUAUGUACUAAUAAGUCCAAUCUUCUAGGCUGUUAAGUUUUGGCAUUUGAUGAAUUUCAACAGAUAUGUCACAUAAUUUAUUUAAAAAUAUUAGUUAGUCAUCAUAUAAUUCUGUAUAAGUCCCUCAAUUUUAAAAACUCUAUAUUAAAUUUCCACCACCAUGUAAUAACACAACUUUCCCUAUCAGUGUGAUUUAAUCUAGAGAGAGAGAGAGAGAGAGAGAGAGAGAGGGAGAUCAAUUCCACUCAUCUAAACAAAGGAAACAAAUUAAGGAAAAUGAGUCAUCAUGUGCUCAGGUCCCUCCAAAGCCAUGGGAUCUCAUGAGGAAGCAAUUCAUGGCUGUGCUUGCCCCUCAAUAUUACCUACUCAUAAGAAAAAGAAAGAGGAAGAAGAAGAAUGUGACAUGGCUCAUAGAACAGUGUAUGUGGAUGAUGAUGAUUGAUCAUGAUGAUUAUGAUGAUGAGUUGAGCAAGCAAUCCAAGCAUAUAAUUUAUAUGUGGCCUAAAAGUGCUUUGUCCUACUGUAGCAAAACUCACAUGGUGAUUUUGUGUUGUUUUUUUGGUGCCAUGUGGCCAAUGUGGCACUGCUCCUACACUAGAUUUUAAUUAUUGGACCCAACUUUGUGGCUCUUGUUAAUUAGAGUUAGUACAUAAAUAUGUUGCAUUAGCUUGGCCACAUUUUUAAGCUUUAUUGUGGCUUUCCUUUUUUUAAAAAAAAUUCAUUUAAACUGUAGCUAAUUAAGAUGGAUUCCUAAUUUGUGUUGGGAAUAGCUAAGAAGAAGUACUCACUUUCACCACAAAAAACAAAAAAAAAAAAAAAAAAANAAUUUUUGAAAUAAUAAUAGUAAUAAUAAAUUUUAAAACCCAUUUUUUUCAUAAUACACAGAUAAUUUUUUACACACAAAUUAAAUUUUCAAAAUUUUAUACAUAAUAAUCGUAUUUUAUUUGGGACAUCGUGGCUCGUCCACAGCCGUAAACGUGGCAUGCGUGCCCAUCAAACACGUAACCCUUCCUCGUCUUUUGUACACGUGGCGCCAUCCUGUGGCCCCUAAUGCGUCGGAUGCGGUGGGCGCGUGUACGCGUCGCACGUGCCUUCGUUCGCGCCAAAACGUGUGGCCCCUGUUGACUCGACUUGCUUCAAUUCUUCGGUACUAUUUUGUCGCGUAUUUACGAAAUGACUAUUUUGCCCUCAUUAACCAAUCUCCGGUGUCGUGGGCAUUUUGGUCAUUUCGCUGGAGCAGCGGUAACGAAGCGCCACAUGUUAACAGUGGGUUGGUGGGUGGUGACGCUUGCGCUAGAGAUAUUUUUUCUCCAUGUUGUGGUUAACAACGCUUCUAAACUAAACUCCGUUACUUACGUGGGUCCCUUUUUUUUUUUUUAGGGUAAACUUCAAAUAUCACUCUGUGGUUUCGCACUUUCUCACUUUAGUACAAUAUAGUUUAAAGUGUACCAAGUUAAUGUCAUGUGGUUUCAUUUUAUAUCUUUUCGUCAGUUUCUCUAUUAAUAUUUCGUUAAAUUAUAUACAACAAGCUUCAGAUACUUCACCUAAAUUUAUCGAAUAUNAAAAAAAAAAAAAUUAUUGCAUGCGUUGAGCAUAUAAAUAUAUUGCACACACUAAAUUUUUAAAAUUUUUAUUAUGAAUAUUUUAAAAAUUACAAUUUUUGAAAUAAUAAUAGUAAUAAUAAAUUUUAAAACCCAUUUUUUUCAUAAUACACAGAUAAUUUUUUACACACAAAUUAAAUUUUCAAAAUUUUAUACAUAAUAAUCGUAUUUUAUUUGGGACGUCGUGGCAAGUCCACAGCCGUAAAUGUGGCACAUGUGCCCAUCAAACACGUAACCCUUCCUCGUCUUUUGUACACGUGGCGCCAUCCUGUGGCCCCCAAUGCGUCGAACGCGGUGGGCGCAUGUACGCGUCGCACGCGCCUUCGUUCGCGCCAAAACGUGUGGCCCCUGUUGACUCGACUCUCUUCAAUUCCUCGGUACUAUUUCGUCGCGUAUUUACAAAAUGACUAUUUUGCCCUCGUUAACUAAUCUCCGGUGUCGUGGGCAUUUUGGUCAUUUCGCUGGAGCAGCUGUAACGAUGCGCCACAUGUUAACAGUGGGUUGGUGGGUGGUGACGCUUGCGGUGGAGAUAUUUUUUCUCCAUGUUGUGGUUAACAACGCUUCUAAACUAAACUCCGUUACUUACGUGGGUCCCUUUUUUUUUUUUAGGGUAAACUUCAAAUAUCACCCUGUGAUUUCGUACUUUCUCACUUUAGUACAAUAUAGUUUAGAGUGUAUCAAGUUAAUGUUAUGUGGUUUCAUUUUGUAUCUUUUCGUCAGUUUCUUUAUUAAUAUUUCGUUAAAUUAUAUACAACAAACUUCAGAUACUUCAUCUAAAUUUAUCGAAUAUUUACUUUAGUACUAUUUAGUUUUAACUUUGUCACUGAUUUAACGAAAAAUAAAAUAAAAAUAAAAUAAAAUCACAUAGCACUAAAUUAAUACACUUUAAAUCACAAAAUAUUAAAGUGAGAAACUGCGAAACUAUAAGAAUAGUAUUUGAAGUUUUUUUUUUUGAAAACUUAAAAUACGGCACUGAUCAUUCUUAAUUAUAUUAAAUAUUUAAUUUAUAUACGGUUUUAUAUAUUAAUUUUUUUAAAAAAUAAAAAAUAUAUAUAUUAUUUGAUUUAGGUUCCACCACUUAAUCAGAUGAUGUUGGCGAUGAUUUUGUUGUCGCGUUAUCUUUACGCAAUCCGAUUUGACUACUGUACUAUCAACACAUCAUCAUAUCAAAAAUCAAUAAUAUUAUUAUCAAUAUGUAUUUUUAGAUUCGUUUUCUAUCAAAUCAAUCUUUGAAUAAAUAUGUAUAGUUUUAAUUCUAAAAAAUAAGAACCCACAUAAUCUAGUCUGAAUCGGUUAUCUAAUUUUUCAAAAAUUUAAUUAUUCUAUCUAAGUUUUCAAUUUGUUUGAUUUUAGUCUGUCAACGAUACUUUUAUUUUAAAAUUUGAAUACAGAUUUAGUCGGUUUAUUUUAUGCAGUUCUCGCAACAGAAAACUUAUUAAAGUUAUUAACUUUAAUUUUGAAGUUAAAGUACUGUUCACUAACUCAAAUGCGAACAAAUUGAAAGAUUUGAUUGUAAAAUUUAAAUUUUGAAUUGUUGAAUAACUAAUUUAAAAUGAUCUAUAAUUCAAAUAAAUUUUAUACAUUUUGAUCAUUCUGAAAUUCUUUCAUCCUGUAAUUCAGAUAAUUCAGCCUCAUUUUUCAAGGAAAAAAUCCAACCAAGAAGAAAAUAAAAAGAAAGUAGGAAUUUCCUCUUAUUGAUAUUCAACUUUUUUAAUUUAUUUGAUUUGAGCCGGUCACCGGUAUUUUUAUUUCAAAAUUUAAAUAUAGAGUUAGUUAAUUUAUUUUAUGCAGUUCUCGUAAUUAUAAAUUUAUUAAAGUGAGUUAUUAAUUUUAGCUUUGAAGUCAAAGUACUGUGUUCACUUACUCAAAUUUAAUAAAAUUGAAAGAUAAAAUUAAAAUUAAAAAAUAUUAGAUAACUAAUUUAAAAUUAUUCAUAAUUCAGAUAAAUUUUAUAAGUCUUUAUCACUCUAAAAAUCUUUCAUUACGUAAGAUAGUGAAUUAAAUCCCCUGUAAUAAAUAUUCUGGUACCAAAAUAAAAUAAAAGGCCAAUACUUGGAUGAUAAAAUACACACAUAAUAAUAAUAAUAAUAUUAAUAAUAAAACCAAAAUAAGAGGACCAGUAACGCCCAAAUGAAGUAAAGAAGCACACGAAUUAAGAACCCAAGCCAACAAUAAAAAUACAAAUACAAAAUUAGAAAAAGAGAUUUAAAAAAUAAAAAUAAUAUUAGCAAUUUCGAGUGGGACGAGGUUUUGUGGACGAGGAGACUUAGGAGAGCCCUUCCACAUCCUCUUUCUCUCUCCUACCACUCUUUAUUAUUCUCUAAUAAUUAAAUUAAUACUUUUCUCAUAACUACCUAACUAUAAUAAUAAUUAAUUAAAGAUUGAAAAAUGUAAUGGACACCACAUCAACAACUAUAAGCUUUUCCAGGUUGAUCACCCAAUUUCUUUUUUCUACUCAUUUUAACCUCUAAGCCGAUUUGCAUAAAAAAAUUCACAAAUUUGGAGCUUUUGCAAAACUGGUCCGUCUUUUUCGAUUUUACAGAUUCGGUUCGAAUUUUCAACAAACCGAUCAAAAUACCCUUAUGUAUUUUACAAAAUCUCAAAACUUAUGAAUUUUUUAUGCAAAUUGGCCUACUUAAUUUUAGAUUUGGACAAAUAUAUAUUUAGUAGUUUUUCGAGUUUUUAAUUUAAAAAGAAGAGAUCAGGGGGAGCGUUUUGAAAAUUAUAUAUAGGUAAAGGGUCUUUGUGCGAUUUUACCUUCAAAUUAAACCAUAUAUAUAUAGAAGAUAUAUUUGUAUAGCAUUUAUUAGUGGGAUCGAACGGGUCUUCAUCUCUAACACCAUUCUCGCUACUCCUUCCACAGUUUAUAGAAAACCGCUCGCGGUUUUAUCAAAACCGCUCGCGGUUUUCUGAAAAUCGCUAAUCUCUCGUCGAAUUUUUAGCCCGUUAUCUCUCUUCUCUCCCUAUCCCUCUCCCCGUCCUUUCUAUCUAGACUAGAUAGUACGGUUUAUCUAGGGUUUCUCUUUUAUCUAGGGUUUCCUUUCUAGGGUUUUGUAGGAGGUGGGUAUGGGUAUGGGGAUGGGGAUGGGGAUGGGGAUGGGGAUGGGGAAGCGGUGCGAGCUCUGCGGGGGGAGCGCGGCGGUGUACUGCGACCCGGACGCGGCGUUCCUCUGCUGGGGCUGCGACGCCGCCGUGCACGGCGCCAACUUCCUCGCCGCGCGCCACCUCCGCCGCGCCGCCUGCGCCUCCCUCCACCCCGGCGUCCUCGUCUCCGGCCCCUCCGCCGCCGCCGCCGUCGCCGCCGCGUGCUGCUCCCUCUCCGCCGAGAGCUCCUGCGUCUCCGCCGCCGAGUCCGCCGCCGCUGCGCCGCCGCGGCGGAGGCGGCGGAGCGCGCCGGCGACGCGGACCCGCCGCGUGCGGCAGCGUAGAGCGCCGGCGCCGCCGCGGAGAUCCGCCGCGCUCCGCCGCGCCGGGGCGGGCUCGCGGGCCCCCGCGCGGCGGCGGAGGCGAACCGGACCGGUCGAGAAGGAGGAGGGAUGGGCCGAGUGCGCGUAGUGGCCGAACCGGCCCGGUUCGAGAAGUGUACGGAAUCAUCCUUAACUAUAGUACGUUUGGAAAUAGGUCCCUCAAGUUUAUUGACACCCCUUAGAAUGUAAUAUUUUCUUUCUUUUUUAUUUUUAUUUUUUUUGUUUGUAGUUUCUAAUUUGAGCGAGUGUAGUAAAGUAAGUUAAGUUAAUUUAAUAGCUCUACUCUAGUUAACUUUUAGCAAACAGGAUUAGUGUAGUUAAUAACAUACUAUCUUGUUAAUUUAACUAACUAAAAUUACUGAUAUGAAAAAAAAAUUAGCAAGGUAUGAGAGGUGUCAAUUGGAUAAUAUUAAAGUUUAAGGACCUAUUUCAAACUAGCCUAGAGUUUGGGUGUUUCUCAGUCAUUUUCUCCUGGUGUCAUCUUUCUCUAACUUUUAGCAGAGAAUGUUUUUUUUUUUUUUUUUUUUUUUUUUUUUGGCCUUUUCUUUUUCUAAAGUCUCAUGUUCAAGCUAUGAUGAAACUCUGUAAUGAGGUGGGACACUUGUGAGGAAUCAAAUAUGGACUUUGAUAUGAGUGAGUGAUUGUUCAAGUUGUUUGUGUGCAUCAAAUGGUUUGCAUGAUGAUGAGUUUAAACUUACUUAUGUUAUAUUAUUAUUAUACCAUUAAAUGCUUUAUUUUUGAGACUAAAAGGUGCUUGGAUAUAUAUGACAUGUGAUUCUUACUAUAAUAUAUGUCACAUUAGCUAUAUAUUAUUGAUCAUGGAUUCGAAUUGCUAUGUGCUUUUAUUGUAGAACACCAACAACUUGAGUGGUUCAAAACAUAAAGAAGAAAAGUUUUAGAGAUGUUGUUGGUUCAAAACAUAAAGAAGAAAAGUUUUAGAGAGAGAGAGAGAGAGAGAGAGAGAGAGAGAGGUGGGAAAUUCUUUGACAAUUUUCAGUUCAAAGGGUUGUUUUAGUCCAACCACUUGUUUGGAGUGUUGUGGUGCAUAAGAUGUGGGUCACAUUUAGUCACAUAAUAAGGCUAUAUUUAGGUGUCAAAAUUUGGGUGGGGUGAGUGGAUCCUUUGACCUAUAGGUGUCAAAAUUUGGGUGGGAUGAGUGGAUUCUUUGACUCCACCCUGUGAAAGAGAGAGAGAGAGAGAGAGAGAUGGAGGGUUCAAAACUUGACUUGACUCACAUGUUACAUUUAUGGAUCCAGCACUUGGAACAUUUUACCGACUAUUCCUAGCGCAAAUUAUAAAAGAUUAAAAGGUUCAGUGGUUGAUAUUUUACGUCUUAUGUUUGAAGUCUAGUUAUUUUAUAUUUUUAAAUAAGCUUAGUUUUUUUUAAAAAAAUAAAAUAAUUUCAAAUAAGCUUAGUUUUUUUAAAAAAAAUAAAUAAAACGGGUAAAAUACUACCUUUCUCUCUCUCAAAAAAAUAAAAGGAGAAAGAACAAUUUCAUAUUUUCAUGGCACAAUAUCAAUGAGACUAUUGUAAUAAGUUGAUAUAUGCCUAGGGAUGUAAAACAGGCCAGGGCAGGUUCAGCCGUCACUAUUGUUGGUAGUGUUCGGUUGCACUCGGCCAGCUUGCAGUUCAGCACAGGAUGGAGGGAUGCAAAUGGAUUCGGGUUGGUGGAGCUCCUGCCUCGAAUAGGAUAGUAAACGAGGAGAAAUAAACGGAUUCGGGACAAAAAAAGGGGUAAUUUUUAUAAUUCGAGACGGAUUCGGGAUAGAAAAUAGAAAAAAUUUUGAUCCUCCCCGAAUCCGCAAUGAAUCUGCUAUGAAAACGUAAAAAAUAUUUCUAAAUAAUUCAAAAUAAAAAAAAAGUUGGUGCUCAUUUCUCAUGUAUUUGAAACUUUUGAAUUUUGUUUCGAAUUGUGAUCGAUAUUUUUAAUUUUUAUGAUUAAUAUUGUUAAUUAUAUAUAUGUAUAACUUAGUAAUAUUAUUCAUUAUUAUUAAAAAAUAUUAAUUUAUAUUUUACAAAAUAUUAAUAAUAUUAUAUUUUUUAAAAAAUAUAUUAAUUGACUUAGCGAAUUCGGGACGCUGGCGGUAGUUGGGUUAUGAGGCCAGCCGGAUCAUGGAAUAUAUUUUUUUAACUCAUCACAGGUUCGGAGCAGGAGGUGGAGCGGAAUUUUGGUAGCCGGGGCGAGAGGCGGGGUGGGGCUCCUUCUCCCAGAUCAGAUCCGCCCCGUUUGCAUCCCUAACAGCACGGCAUGCGCCAUGGGUGCAAGAGAUGCUGGUCUACGGUUUGGUGGCCCAUGGCUCGACAUGGCACGGCCCAUAAUGCACCCUCAUAUGUGCCCCAAGUUGUUAAAGCCCGUGGAAUUGUUUACCGCCUCACGAAGUUAUACUUUAUAAUUUCGAGCUCAAAUUUUUUUUACUGUUGUACGACACUAACAGAAGUUUGAACCUUUGACCUCAAAAAAUACUAUUACGUGUUAAAGUAGAUGAUGUAAAUACAGGAGUAUCUUACUUUUGACUUUAAAAGGAUGUAUGCUCCUCUAAGAGAUAAAACCCCACUAAAGAAGAAAUAGUAAAAUACCUUUAACUGCUGCAGUAUCAGAGUUUUGUUCACACUUUUUCAGUUCACACAUCAGCAUGAAAGAUAACUUGUUUUGAUUAACCUAUAUUGUAGCCAUUAACACUUUUUCCGAAUCUUUUACACUUGAUUACACAUACCUAGAAUCUAACCUGACCAAUGAGAUUAUACAUUUACAUACAAGCUUUCAGAACCUUAAACAGUCUCAAUUAACAUGUUAGUAGGAAGAAUUCUGGGAGUAAAUUACUCUAUUCUGAUUACAGUAUGUUUUCAGAUAUAAGUUCUGACACGAAAUUCUCCAACUUUUCCCCCGACGGUCCUCGUUCGACUGUAUCAAUAUCGCUCCAACUCGAGCAUCGAUCAUUCGAAUCUUCUGUCUUCUGAUCAUCUGCGAAGCCCGCGCACCAUUUUCCUGGAACAACGCCGCUCGACGGUCUUUCGAGUACGUCCUCGUCGAUCUUCUGCAGCAGUGCAUCAUUUUCUCUGAACCAAGUACCAAAUGCUGAUCCACUGUUUAUCAUUGCUGCAUAAUGUGAUUGAUUGAGACUGAUGGGUUCUGCGGCCGAAGGCCGCUCCCCGAGAGUGUACCACAAAUUGUUGUUGAUUGUGGUGUUUCGGAAUCUCAGGGAGUUGAGUACUACUGUUUGGAAGUAGGAUUCCAUUGGAUGAAUCACAUUGGUGAAGUAUAAGAGCAGUUUCCUCGGUAGGUUGUCCCAUGAAAACACACAAUGCUCCAUCAAUGAUCUGCUUAGUAUCAUCCAGGGGGACCCUGUCGCAUUUCGCGGAAUUUCAAAUUGACAUGCAAUUAGAGGCUUUUACUUUACUUCUCUGACAAAUAGAUAAGCUACUAAAUGCAGCAAAUGCAUUCAUGUCAACUUAGUAUAUUGAGAUGGAUCUAGCUUUCCUGGAGAUUUUGAUAUUCUAUCCGAAGUUAUAUCGAUAAAAGUCGACUCUGUGACGGUUAAUUGGUCGUGAACUCGCUGUCAAAUUUUGCUCAGCCCUCAAUCUUUGAUUGUUAAGCAUUUUUUUGCUCCGCGAAAUUACUUUUUAUGUUUUGAAGUAGUCCUCUUCCAUCAAGAACAUGUUCGCGUGACACUGACGCCUUUUCUCAUUAUGAAGAAAUCGACAUGACUACUAAGUGUCUGAGAUCUCAAUUAUUCCACAAACUGGAUUUGACAGAGACUGCAAUGAAACAUGAUCUACUUUCGGUUCGCAAAAUUCUUAAAUUUAAUGAUUGAGAACUAAAGUGACCGCGAAUGAUAAAUGAUUCAACUAAGAUAUGGCAUGUCCUUACCAGUAAAUAUCUCGAAAGCAUCAGGUGCUGUUCGCAACUCCGAGGAGUAAAAGAGCUGAGAUCUUUUGUUCUCAUAAAGACUCGGGUCCACAAUUACAUUUUGAAUAUUUUGGUUCCUGUAUAAACAAUUAUGCUUUUAAUAAACAACUUGAUCAAAAUUUAAGGAACCAGUACUUACUAAUUGUUCCUUACAUUUUGUUUUCAGGAUUCAUUGCAUGUUCAAUGAAGUUCAAAUCUCGCGGCAAAGAUGAGAAUACAUGUAACAGAUCUGCACCAGAAAUACUCCAUUAGCAUUAAAAGAAGUGAGUGAUUAAGGAGCAGAGAAAAGAAGAUUCAUUUGUUUCUUUUGUCAAUUUCUUUCUAACCAUCCUGCGUUACGAGGGGAUAAUCCGAAGUACUCAAUUUGAUAAACCAAUCCCAGGCGGCGCCAAUCUUCAGCAGAACAGCAGCUGCAUGAAGCAUUGCAGAAACUGAAGACGGACCUGUUCUGUCGAUCGGAUAAGCUCUGCCCAUCACAUGAACAUUCCCGAAAGCUCGAAACACUCUUUCUGAUCUUACUAAAUACGCGAGCCUUACCCUCUCAUAGGUCGUCGAUCCUGCAUCUAGCUGCAGAAGGUACUGGUUUCUGGGAUGGUAUACUGCUUUCAGCAGCCGCAGAAUUCUCAGGUGCUCGCCUCGGGUGCCAGUAAUCCAAUAAGCGAAGAUCGGGGGAUACUCGGGUCCUGUUAAUGGAGCUCUGACGCUUUCUUCGAACUCCACUUCAGUGCUGCUGCUGCAAUUGCCCUGGUAAAGAAAUGAACCUGCGAAGGAGCUGAGCACGACCGUGCUCACCGCAAAAAGAGCAACUACAGGCCAAGGUGAGCAUCUUGAGCACAACUUAUGAUUCAUCUUCUCCUUGAAUUUUGAAUUUUAUCUCAGAAACAGAUUUGCAGAGUUACGCUGUAACAGAAGUUGCAGAAGUUGCUGAAAUGUUCUUUGUUUCUGAACAGAAACUGUUGCAGCAUCUUUGACCUGAAAAAAAAAAAUGUAAUCAAACUCUAGUUAUUAAGUACAUAAAAAAAGAAUGUGAGUCAAGAUUUAGACAGUUAGAAUCUGAAAGAUUGAUAACAUAACGUAAUCGGUGACGUGUCGACAUUAAAUUACAAAUAAAAUAAGGUAGAUUGAUCCAAUUGAAGAGAAGGGACUGCAAUACCAAGAUUUUUAUUUUGGGACAGUGAGAUAGCAAGAGAAUGGCAUAAUUAUAUAAAAAUUGAAAGGAGCUGCAAACCUUUCCCAGUCUCUAUUGUCCCAUGAGUUGCUGCUCCCACAUAAGUUUCUUUGAAGAUCUAAUUUUAGUACAGAUGGAUCUAUUGUGGCAUUUUAGCAUUUCUUUUUUCAUUAUUAUUAUUAUUAAAAUUCUGUAUAUUGGUUGGCAGGUUCACAGCAACCUGUUUCGGAAUGUCAAAGAUGCAUAGUGAGAAAAGCAGAAAAUGUUAAAGAAACAUGGGAGAGUAAGACAAAAUAUUUGCUAAUGUGUUUGUUUCAUUCACACCAUGAAUAUUAUUUUCUUAUUAAAUUAUGUCAUAUGUCAUAGGAUGCCAAAGGUAAGAAUAAUUUCAUAAAUAAUGUGUUUCUUAAGACUAAAAUACUGGUUCAUAGGGUAUAUGGUAUGUGUGAAAUGAAAUGAAAUAGUCGUUAUUUACUAAUAGUUUAAGCUGCUCAAUACGUGGAGCUGAAUUAAAUGGGAGAAACUAAACGAAGCAAAGAGCCUGACGGAACUUAAACUUAGAAUUUCUUACUUUGAUAUUAUGUUAAAGAAGAUGAAGCAACCGUUAUCCUCCAAUAACUUAAAACAACAAAAGAACAGUAUUUUUAAUAUUUAUAUUCAGUAUUAUGUUUAUGCUUCGUAAUUCUGUAACAAACAAUCUGGAUAAAGAGUGAAUCACACACCUAACCAAAUUGUCUCAACCAGAACUCAUUGAGGAGCUUCUCAACAAAGUCGUAUUCGUCCAAUACACUGUUCAGAUUCGAAUGAGAAACUUCUCGAUUGGAAUAGCUCUUUAGUACUUCAUCAGUACUGUCUCAACAAGACCUCUCGUUGAGGAGCUCCUCAAUAAAGUCUUGCUCGUCUGAUACAAUGUACAGAUUUGAAAGAAAAACUUUUAGACUAGAAUAAAUCUUUAAUACUCAUAUGCAGAACGAAUCUACAACACCACUCGCUAAACUAUGUCAAUGAAAGCUCAUUGAGAAGCUCCUCAACGAAGUCGUGCUUCUCCCAAAAUAGAUCAAAUUUUCCCAUGUAAUUGCUUUUCAAUUUGAUGGUGCAAUGUCCAUCUCCUUACUUUUGUUAUCAUUUACUAAAAAAGUAGAGACAAAAGAGAAGGUUUCCACAUAGUAAUACCUACACCAAAAGUUACACUUUUGCUUUGUUUUUUAUUAUCAAACUAAUUUGUUAGCUUCUUAUGUAAUUAUGAAGUCACCCAAUGAGGCUGUUGACAUGGAAACCACACCUACCAUACCAACCGGUAGGUUGAGGAUCACGCCAAUGUUAUGUUACCACCCAACAACAAAAACUUUCCAGAGUAAUUAUAAUUUUACAAUUUUUAUCAUCUAAACUCCAUCUUAUUUCUAUACAUUUUAUCAGAGCUUUUUUUUGCAUUGAGCCCUCUCGGGGCCGGGGGGGAUGAUUGGCCUUAUCUUCGUCGCGCAAGUGCCACGUGAGCGUGAAAUCGGUUGAACACGGUGAACCAUUCACCACGUCCAACUUAAAUUUAUACAACUUAUAGAAAUGUAUAAUACAAUAAAUACGUUGAAUCAUUCACCGUGUUCAUCUUAACCUGGGCCACCAACCAUGCUCGCGUGUUCCUCGCGUGACGCUUAUGUGGCGAGAAUAGGACCAAUUUUAUAAAUAUAAAUUUUAUAAAACUAUUUCUGAAAAAAAAAUUUAUGAGAGAGCUAAAUACAAAAAAAAAAACCAUUUUAUCAUCAUCAUUAUUAUUAUUAUUAUUACUAAAAAUUCAAAAUGAUUGGAUAAAUACAACCCCUCGUAAUUCUCAAUUUUAAAUAACUAUCACACUUUAUAUUGUUUCAAUUAAUAGCCCCAACAAAUUUUAAAUAGCUAUCAAAUUUGAAUACACAUAAAUUUUUUUUUUUUAAAGAAGAGACAUAUUUUCCAAUUAGAUACCAACAUUAGUAGAUUUGUGAAUAGUCGAACCUAUAUCUACUAUUAAUUGUCCAAAGAAUUUAGAAGCAUUGCCUUAAUGAUUUCAUAAUUCAUGGCUUUUUUUUUUGUAUCUCACUAAAUUUGUUAUUUUUGAUGUCGUUAUAAUUUGUCUUAUUUGUAGGCACACAAAUUUAAUGGCUACAAAGUUUAUUUAUUCUCUUAAUUUAAAAUUUUAAAUUAUUUGUUCUAUCAAACGUGCUACCCGUUAGAAAUAAACAAAUCAUUUUUACUUAAAAAAUUUGUUGGAAAUUAAAUUAAUGAUCAGCAACGUGACCUUCACCUAACUUCUAGAAUGGAAUCAUUUCUCAUUCAACGUGCUGAGUUGAAUGAAAAAAAAAAAAAAAAAAAAUUAAAAAAAAAAAAAAAAAAAAAUCUAUCACAAGAUCAAAACAAGGCCAUUUUGCAUAGAAAACCAACCUUUUUUUAAUUUGUAUUCGUGUUUUCCUUUUUUUUCCCCCAUUUUUACACCCUUGGGUCACUAGAUUCUUUUUUUUUUUUAAUGUAAAAAUUUCUCACAAGAGUUGCAGUAGUUUUCUGCUUCAUAAAAAAAAAUUGGAGACACUAAAAUGGGUGCUUAGUGCUUAAUUUACAUGUUUAAACAAACCAAUUAAAGCAAAUUAAUUCAAAAUAAUAACUCCAAAUAAUUCGAAACAUUUUCAUAUACAUAAUAAUCACAAUCUCAAUGUAGUUUUCUUUGUAACACACCAUCCCCUCUACUGUAGUGAUUAAAACACAUCCUUUGUUACAAUAGUAUCAAAUAUUAAUAAACAAAAAUAUGAAAAAGAAAAAAAAAGACAAAUAGGACUAUACAAUCAAAACCUCAGGACAUAAUCACCACAUAUAAUUCCACACAUUUUUAAUGCCAAGAACCAAGAACCAUAUUUGAAAAAGCUUAACCAGUGUUUUCGACAUCAACUGCUAUUGCCAUGUAUAUGUUUAUACUGGUACGACAUCGAUCGUCGAAGUGUCUUCAGAUCUCAAUAUUAUCCCUUCGAGGCUCGCGGGAAGUAUACACUCAGCCCAUUGGCACCCUGUGGAGAGAGGCUCAGGGGGAGGAACUAUCAUCAGCACAUUUUCGUUCCUUCGCACGACCCCCAUUACACUAACUGUGCUCCCUUCCUUAAUGUACCUGAAAACGAAAAUAUGUAUAUACACAUUGUAACACAGUCAAGGAGACUACCUCCUAAUUAUAAAAUGGUUGUUGACUUCUUUAAGAUGAAUUGAUUUGUUUUUUUUCCCUUCUUUUGGCUUGAAAUUGAAAAUUUUAUCAUGUAAUUGAAGUUGUCUUAGUGCUUGCCAUGUUCUCCAAGCAGAAAAGGCGACUAUGGGAGGAAAUUUAAUAAAUGCAAUUAUGGUAUAGCUUGUAUAUUCAGAUGUUAAGUGGAGAUGCUUGUAAUAUCCGAUGUUACAGCUUUCGGAAAGGUGUUGUCGAAGUAGAGCAAUGCAGAGAAGUACUAGGGUCUUUUCUCAAUAAAAUCAUCCUAUUGGCUUCCUGCUAUAGCAGAAGCUGAAACUUAAAAUCGGAACCUGCCACUGCGAAAAUCCUAAACAUUUUUGUUGCCAAAGGGCGGCUAACUGUCUGCUUCAGAGUAGAAGCAGUUCUAGAAAGUAGUCCUAAUAGGUACUGAAAACAGGAAUAUAAUUUUUACCCUUCUCUCAGGCGCAUCAAACGACCAUCACUAGAAAGAUUCCUCUCCCGCAGCCACCUCAUGAAUUCGGGAGACUUGUCUUUGUUUUCCGGGUUUAUGUCAACAACGAUAGAUUCAUCGACAUAGGGAGUGACUUUAGCCCCACAACCUGUUUUUACCAAAGCUCGUAAGCCAGAUUGGAAGUCGGAGAUGUAAAAGUCAACCACAUGUCUCUGCCAAAGUUCAAGAUAAACAUAAAAGAGUUACGACCACAAACAAGAAUAUAAUGGCAAAUAAAGGGAAAAUUGCACCAAUAUUUUAGCAUAAUUUUCAUUGGACCCCAACUUUUUUUUUUGUUUUUAAUUGUUACAAUUGUUAGAGAGUUCCGACCUAACCCAACCCCCAUCCGUUCAGUUCCUCCAGCAAAUUGGAUAGAAAUAUUUACAUAAACAUCAUAUAAUAUCGCACAAGUGUCUUUUGGACUUCUCAUAGGGUGAUUAUGUGCUCAUCUCCGUCCAAUUUAGUCCAGGAAUUAAUGAAAAAAGGUAUGAUAACAAUUUUUUCUGCUGGGAACCAGCGGAAACCUCCCAACAACAUUAUAACUCCAUGGUGCAUUUUAUCCUUGAAUAAAUGUAAUGUAGCAUUCGAGCAAACAAUAACAUGAAGGAACUGAUACAAUGAUAACAGAAAUUUAAUUAAAUUUGUGAUUUCUUCAGUCUUGAAUAAAAUGUUACGAGUUUUCUUUUUCUUUUUUUUUUGUUCAAUAAACUAAGGAAAUAAGACAAUAUUUACCUCCAUGGCUCUUAGCCCCCAUGUAAACCGGCUAUGCUUGGGAUUUGAAGGCUUUGAUUUCCAACCCCUGUAUUCAUAUAAGCUUGUAGAAGUAUAAACACAUCUCGGAACCCUUUGAUACGAGGACUCGAGGGGGAAAUUUCCACAUGUAACAACCUGUGAGAAGCUUAACUAUGUCAGCAGUCAGCACCUGCCAACUUGACAGUGGCACCUAAUAUCAUAGGUCAGAAAAAAUCUAGUAAAUAUAGUUCCAAAACCUAAAAGAAAAAGGAAACCGUCAUCCAUAGACUUUCGAUGUAAAAAUAGCAUUUCUAACCCUGUUUCAAGUGAAUUUAAAUGAGAAAGUCAUCCAAAUGAAAAUGGCCAGGCAUCAAGCAACAAAGCAGCAACAAUUCCAAAUGAAAAACUUACCCCGGAAACCUUUACAUACUGCCCGUCUUUUGCAGUUCGAAGCUCAGCAUCAGGGUAGCGAUUAAUAAACCUGAUUGGUGCUUUCCUUCCAGAGCAACUAUUCCAAAUGAAAAGUGCAGAAACUGCCCCAAAUAAGACCACAACAAGAAUAAGAAGAAGCGCAUUGUGAACCGCACCAAGAAUGAACCCUCCGGCAAUGAGCCCCAUCACAAACAGUAGAAUCACCGACCACAGUAUCGGCUUAGGAAAGCUCCUUUUGAAGGAAUAAGUAUCAUCCUGAAUGAGUUUGGUAACGGCCUGGUUAUGCGCCAAAGUGGUAGAAUGGAGCUUCACUGAAUUAGUCGAGUCUAGUGAGCCGGAUACUUUUCGUGGGGCUCCGGAUGAAUUGAGCGAGCCGGAUAAAAUCGGACCGGACGUAAUAAGCCCUGUUGUAGGGAGCACAGGAGGGGCUGCGGCGGAUUGAGGGCCUGACGACCUUUUACUCGAAUCGCCAUGUUUGUUUAAUGGCCCAGAAUUGGUUUUCUGUUUGGAAAGAGAACCAGAAUUGGAAUUAGCAGCGCCGAAUGAUGCAGUUCUUGAAGGAGCACUGCCAAGAGGGCCAGAUUUUCUUGAUUUCUCCGCAUGAAGGUCGAACAUUUUUCCGAGUUCCCCGGAUCUCUUAAUAUCUCCGCCGGUGUACGGCAUGGCUGCUGAGCUCAUUGUCGGAGGCUUCUCCUUGGGCGUCUCGGAGCGGCCCGAGACAUACAGCCCAUUGCUGAGCUGAUGGGACGGGAACCUCGAUCCCAUCGAGCUUGGCUGAUUUGAUCGAAAAGAAAAUGCCGACUGUAAUCAACAGCCUGUUAGGGUUCACCUCUGAUAUCGAAAAGGAUCAUCUUGUGAAUACAGCUCAACUAAACAAUUUUCAGGUCAACUCUUUACGAAAAAAGGAAAAAGAAAAAAUGAAUGUUGAUAUAAAAGCCGAAUAGAUAAUUUGAUCCUUAUGAACAUAUAGAAAUCAGACAAUGCGGAAAGGAGAAAAACUACAUAGACAUACAUAUUCAAACACGGCGAAAACCUUAACUCUAAAAAGAUGACAUAUUUCCCCAGAUUAAAACACGGCGAAAACCUUAAAUAGAAUUUUUAGUUUCGAGGGAGCCUUAGCUGAAAUCAGCAAUUCUCGAACGAAGCACUAGUAUUUAAUUCGGCAAUUGACAAAUUUCCAGGUUAAAAAAAAAAACUUAAACUCUAAAAAGAUGGCAUGGUUUGAAAUCAGUAAUUAUAAAAGUUAGAAAACCUCAGCACAACAGAUCUGACCAAGUUUAUUCGACUUUAGCCGAAAUGCUGUGCAAUUUCUGAGAGCAUGACCUCAACAAUUCUCAAAUUACGGUUCGCGAAACUUCAUCGUAUCGGGAAUUGAAUGACGAACAGGACCUAAAAACAUACAAAUUAAUUGUUAAGGAAAGAUCUUUCUACUACUAACCAAAAUUAGUUCUAAAAUCUACAAUCUCAAACAAGCAACUCCUCCAUCUCCAACACAGCCCAAAAUCUACUCAAAUGUGCAAACGCAUUGUGCCUAAUGUUCUCCACUCCUAGAGCUCCAAAAAACAAAAACCCAAAUCCCAUUUGAGAAAUUGAACCAAACCCACAUUUCCAUUUCUCCAAUUAAACGAAUCCCAAACGACCCAAUUGCCCCCCCCCCCCGCAAAAAAACUCCCCAAAAAGGAGAAAUUAGUGCUUCAUAUUCCUGUUUAGAUCUAAAAAACUGCAAUUGGAGACAAACCCAUAUCCUCAUUACCAUCAAAAAAGAGAACAAUGCAUAGAUCAGAAAACCAACAACUCCAGAUCCCAAAAAAACUUAGAAAAAAAGUACAUAAACAAGGGACAAGCUCAUGUAACAAAGAGAAUGAGGGAGAAAGAGAGAUCUUUCUCUCUCUUCAUACCUUUGGAGCCAGGGAAAAUGAGCUUCAGCUAGAGAGAGAGAGAGAGAGAGAGAGAGAGAUUUGGUUUUUUUUCACUGUACUUUAUGGUGUGUGCUUUGUCUCCUAUAAAAAUUAAAAAGUGAACACUGAGUGGGGAAAGGAAGGAAAAAUGUCUGGUUAGUCCCUGAACUAUCCUCCUAUUGGAACUUGUCUUUGUACCAUUUUUUUUUUUUUUUCACAUUUUUAGGACUUGUUUGUUUGGGUGAAAGUGUUUAGAUGAAAGUGGAGAGUGGUGAAGUUUUUUUCAGCCGUAAUUGAUUACUUUCGUUAUUUAUUUCUUCGUAACAGAGAUAUGGUCUAAACUUGAGUUAUCUGAAACAGCGUAAUUGAUUUUGGUCCGAAGUAAAGAACGGUAAAAAAAUAAUAAUAAUAAAAUAAUAUAAUAAGUAAUGCUAAUUAUAUUUAAAUAUAUUUAAUUAUGGCACUAAUUAUUCUUUUAUUUAGUUUGUAUAUUUAAAAUAUAAUAAAAUUUGAUUAGUUAAGUUUUAUUAUUUUCGUCAUUUAGUUUGUACACGUAAGAUAGGAUGAAAAUUGAUUAAUUAAGUAUUUAUAUAUUUUUUUACUUUAUAAUUGUAUUGUUGUAUUAUUAUAAUUUAUGUAUAAAAAAAUAAUUUUGUUGGUUUAGAUUAAAUUUUUAAUUAUAUAGGAAUAUAAUUAUAUUAUUUUUAUUUAUUAAGUUAUUUAUUAUUUAUACACAAAUUAUAGUUUUAUAUUAUUCGAAUUCCUGCUCCCACACCAGAAUUCUGAAGAAAUUUACUUCCAUAGCUGUUAUAAACAAACAAUAUAAAGAAUAAUAAUUUUACGAAUUAUAUUUAAUUUAAAGUUACUUGCAACCACAAAAUUCUAGUUUUCGUGAACAAACAUAUAACAAAAGUCUAUUUCCAAUCCCGAAGUUACAUAUCUUUUUUUUAUAAAUAACUGAAGUACUAUUAUAUUAAUAAAUGAUUCAACUUGUUUGAAAUUCAAAUCAAUUAUAUCCCUUUUUUUUUUAACAGUAAUAAAUUAAGAUUUUAUAUAUAUAUAUAUAUAUAAAUUUUGAAUACAUGCCAAACUACAUGGGACAUAGUAACAGGAACCAACCAAAUAUAUUAUCAAAAUAAUAAUAAUAAUAAUAAAAAAAAAGGGAAGAGACUAAAGGUGAAGCAACCACCUUUCAACUCCCUCUCUCUCUGACGUAUUAUUAAUAAUUUUUUUACCAAAAUGACCAAAAUCCGCUUACGAGAAUACCCUGACCUAGAAGAAUUAUUUAUAUCUAGAAUUUUCAUCAUAAGGACAUAACUGCUCUAAUUUAUAAGUGCUUUUGCGGAUACUGGUGAGAUAAAAUAUAAUAAAAUUGAGGAUUUUUCUUUAUAUGAAAAGUACGAACAUUUUUCGACAGAUCGUAAGAUAUUUGAUGUUCAAGGGUUACAUAAUUGAAAUAAAAAAGCACAUAAACCGAGUCGCAGAAGUAGGAUUACAUAGGGAAGCAAUGUUAGAACUCUCCAUUUACACUAGUGCCAUCACUGUUUAGAGCCAGUGUGCUUUUAGCUUCAGUUGUUAUAAGAUUUAUCUUCUAUUAAGAACUGUAGCAAAAAGAUUUUCAUCUUAAAUGAAAGAAAGAAGCAGAUUGAUAAAUUACAGUAACAUUUUGUUUGUUUGCUGCAAGAAUUUCUGAUUGUCCCAGUAAGAAAAAUGAACAAAGAAUCUGCAUCAGAUUGCUCUUUUUCUGCAGAAAUGAACAGCAGGAUUAUCUAUCAGGGACUUCAAUUGGACUAGUUUCAGUUCAGUCCAGUUUCAAUUCAAAUAGGGCAUGGUACAUAUAAGUAUAUAUAUACUUAAGAACUGUGAGUUUGGCUACAUCAAUCCAACUCUUAUUUGAUUACUGUCGCGCGUAGGACUAAACCGAACAGCGGUUUCAAAUCAAUAAGAAAUAGCAAAAAUUGAUUAUGAAAAGAAAAAGAAAAAGCAGGUUAAUAGAAAGACUUCAUGAGGAAAUUACUGAGAAGUCUUGGUCUGAACUAAGCUAGACUCGACCGAAACGCGUAUUAAACUGAAUGUGAUGCUUCUUCUGUAUGAAAUGAAUCUUCUCUUGUGAAACAGAUUCAUCAUUGACAUGAAAUUCUCACAACUUUAAUUAACCUCAACUACAUUUCGCAGCUCGACUGUAUCUUAUCUGCGCGAACUCCGCUGCUAAUUUUCUUUAACCUUCUUUGAUUAUUUCGUUUCAGCAAUCUUUCCUUCUAAUGCAUGGUGGUCGAAUUUUUCCUUAUCAUCUGAAAUCAAAUCAUUCUUGGUUCUCUUUAGUUCUUUACUCAUCACUGUUCUCACAUCAGCAUAAAUUAGAUCUACAAAUUUAGAUCAACUACUAUUAAGUUUCAUCCUUGAUAGGUGGUUAGUUAACAUUGGAAAUAAAUUGCCCCUGACAUUUAACUCUUAACUUGGUACCAUUUGCUGUUUUGAUGUUCUCUAAACAUCAAAUUUGCUCUCAAUUUGAACUUUCAUGGGAUUUAUUUGUGAGAACUCUAUAAAACGGCACAUACGAAACUUGGCCUACAUAUGCUGUUUGAAAUUGUUUAUCUGGAAGUAGAUAGGAUUUCUCUUAAACACAUCAAAUUGGCCUCCCAUCUCACUACCAAAUCAAAUUUAAUUCAAUGCCAAUUUAUUUUUAAUAUAAGUUAUAAGUAAAAUGAAUUAUUUGGACUUAAAAGUCAAUUAAAUUCUAUUGAGAGCCUGUUUAGCCCGACUAUGCUUUUUCCGUUAAUUUCCGGUUAAAUAAACACCACUCAGAAAAACGGAAGUAACUUUUGUCACAAACAUCUUUCGGACUACUUCGUGCCGCAAUAUAACCAGAAGUUUCAAAUCAGAAUUUUCUCGACUUUUUACAAACCAAAUUUCUAGUUUCUAAAAUUUCUAUUUUUUUGUCCGAAUUCAAAAGUGUGGUAAAAACGAGACCAAACAAUCAAUGAAAGUAUAAAAUAGCUAGAGUUAAAAAAAAAAAAAGAAAAAAAGAUCCCAAUCUAAUCUAAGGGCUACAAGAGAGAGGAAGAGUACAAAGAAUUCAAAAAGGUCUCCUUUUUUUUUUCCACAGACUUAUAAAUCCCUAACUAUUGAAGGGUCGAAUUCAACAAGAGAUUUGGAUGGUUUCCAAAUAAAGCUUUUAGGGUUCCUCCAAAGAGAGCAGGGGAUCCUCCAAAUAGCAAUUGGGUAAACCCAAAAACGCUUAAUUUCUAUUAAGAAACCCUUAGAUUCUUCACAGGUUUUCUCAUACAGAUCUGUGUGUCGUGUUUUAUAUUGAUUGUGUUGUUAUUGUUGCAAUUUAAUUUUUUUUUUUUAGUUAUUUUAAUGCAAUUUUCAUGAUCUGCUGGUCCUUCUUCUGUUCUUGUGAUUCAUUUUGUUAUGCACCCAUCUAUGUUGGAUUCUAGGGAAUUAGGGUUCUGUGAAGGAGAGCAAUUUACAUUAGGGCUUGUAGUAACUCCCAAGAAUUGCUUGCCGAUUGGGAAUGUGGAAAAGGGAAUCAUAGAGUUGAUUGAAGAACAACAUUUUGUUAUGCCUUGUUAGAGAUAUCUGUUUACUGAGAAAUUGAAAGUAGUUUGAGAGGAGGAAGUGGGGAAUUGGGGUUGAUAAUUUGUGUUUUAAGAUCUUUAUUGAUGUUAGGAAUCAUACAUCAUUGAUGGGUAGGAAUAGGAUUGAUUCCAGGUAGGACGUUCGGUUCUCACGAAAAAGUUCUGAAAAAGGAUUUUCCAUCCGUUUGGUUUCCCAAAAACAUACUUUUUCCUAAAAAAUUUAUCUCCAGAUUCCAUGGAAAAGUCUUCUUUUCAUUUCCAGAUUUUUAAUCCUGUAAACAAAAUCUAUGGAAAGGGUGUUUUCCAUGAAAAACUCGUUUCCUCGAAAUUCGAAAACAGUUUAUGAUUUUCUGAGGAACCAAACACCCCUUUAUUAAUUUUUCUUGAGAAAAGAAUGAAGAAGAAUUGUGGACACAUCAAUUCCCUGGAAGAAUGAGGAAGAGAUUCUCUAGCAGGGGAGAAAAUUGUGACGAAGAAUUGUUGACACUUGUUUCGCUAUUACUAGUUUUGUAAGAUUUUGGUUCAGUUUGGGAUUGUUUUGCUUGCUUCAGUGAUCCUUGUUUUCUUUCUCACUACAUUCCAGGAAAUUAUUCUAGGAAGUACAGUAAGUUGCUUAUAGAGAUGGUGUUAUCUGCAUUUGUAAAUCUUGCAAUGGAAAGCCACUAGAAAUAAGCUUACAAUUUGGCUGGUCACUUAUGAUAAAGUUAAUUGAGAUAUGUGAUGAAUGCAAUUGGAACUAUCUCUGGAUGAGAAAUGCAAACCUUUAGAUGACAAUAGCAUUUCAUUCACUGGCUCAUUUGAUUUAUUGACUAUGAACGAAACAGCAAAGAAUGUCGCCUUCGUAUACAAAAGGAGGAGAGUUACUGAAUGCAGUCAGAAUGACUGCAGGAAAACUGUUUUAUCCCCGGAUGAGGCGUGCAAAUCGUUAGACAUGAAUAGGGUUUCGUUCACAAGCUCGUUUGAUUUAUCGACUAUGAAAAGAACGUCAAAGAAUGUUGGCUUCGUAUACAAAAGGCGGAAACGUAAUGAAUGCAAUUGGAGUGACUGCGGGAAAACUAUUUUUUCGACUAUGACGGAAACAGCAAAGAAUGUUGGCUUUGUAUACAAAAGGCGGAAAUGUAAUGAAUGGAAUAGGAAUGACUGCAGGAAAGCUAGUUUAUCUCUGGAUGAGUCAUGCAAAUCUUUAGAUAAUGUUGGGGUUUCAUUCACAAGCUCAUUUAAUUUACCAAGAAUAAAAAGAACAGCAAAAAAUGUUGGCUUCGUAUACGAGAAGCAGAAAUCGGAUAGGAAAUCGGUUACGUACCUUUCACGAAAUGCAACAGAAAGUUUGAAGCAAAGUGCAAAAUGCAAUAGUGAAUAUUAUAAGGAUGGAAAAACUAUUUUAUCUGAGUGUGAGGACGCAUGCGAAACUUUAACAAAUGUUGGAGUUUCGUUCUCAAAUUCCUCUGAUUUAUCGGCUACAAAAAGCAUGUUCCCAGUCUCUUCACCAAAGAUGUUUAAAUUGGUGUUUAAGAGGACGAAGUUUGAUAGAAACUCUCUUGCAUUCAUUUCAGAAAAUACAACAUACAGAAUUGCUUGUCCAUGUUCCAGCGCAAGUUCUGACGAACAAUCAGUUAUAUUGCCCAUAAAAACAUCUAAUUGUGAUCUUCGUAAACCUGCAUUAAACUCAAUUAUAGAUGAUAGAUGUUCUUCGUCAGUCUCUUGUGUGCCAUCUUUAAUGAAGAAAGAAGAAAAGGGCCGUGAGCACUGUUCUUCUAAGGAUGCUGAUGUGGUAGAACAGUUAAACAAAGUUGCUUCAGUAAAGGAGCUCUGCAUCUCUGUGCUGAAAAGCGAUGGACUCCUUGGAGAUGCGGGGACUAGUAAUGAAGAUGAUCCUAUUGCGGUCCCUUGUGAUCGAGAUGCUAACUGUUCUGAAACAUGCAAAAUUUGUGGGCUUCUGGGAAAUCUAUUGGAGAUGUUAAUUUGUGACAUUUGUGAAGAAGCAUUUCAUCUGCCUUGUUGCAAACCAAAGAUAAAGAAAAUACCGGUCGAUGAGUGGUACUGUCAGACUUGCUUCAGAACAAAACGCAAGUCCUUAUCUGCAGAAUACUCGAGGAACAAAAGUGAACCAUCCAAGAAGAGUAAGAGUCGGUCACCUCGUCUGCGUCAGGAUUGGAUAACUUUGAUGUUGAAAGACACCCAACCAUAUACAACAGGGGUUCCAAUUGGUGAAGAUUUCCAAGCAGACAUUCCGGACUGGUCUGGUCCAAUGUCAGAGUAUGCUCUCUUUACUCCUAUAUGUUCUUGCAAUUCAUUUUAUCUUUGACUGGAAGAUUUUCUCUUUUCUUCCCCCUUUUUUGGAUUAAAUUAGGAAUUGGACAAAGCCUUUUGUGAUCAGGAGCAACAAGCUUUGUUUUCAAAAAAAUAUGUUUGGUAAUUUACGUGGAAAUAAGACACAUAAUUCUUCUUUUCUGACAAAAUUUGUUUUGCAGUGGUCUCCUGUAAAUAUUCAAUAUCAUGAAUAAAAAGCAGAUUUUUGUUAUUUGUUCCUUAAUAUCAUCUCUAUUAUCAUUAUUUCUGCAGCAGCGCCAGUUAUUACGAUUGAACUUCUCAGAUGGAUCCUGCUGAAUUUCAUAAUCUGGAUGUAAGAUUCAUAUCUCUAUUUUUCACCAUUUUUGCAAUUUUUGUGCUGCACAUCGAAUUUUCAUUACUUUAUUAGAAUUAUGGAACCUAGUUGAAAUACUCGAUGCGAUUUUUCAUUGAUAUAGCAUGCAAUGUAUCUUCCAUGUCAAAAUUUUCUUCUGACUCUCUCAUUCUAUAAUAAUGCACUUCCAUAAUACCGCUUUUGUCGUUGAACGGGAAUGUAAAUGAAUUUGCUAAUGCACUCAAUCUACCCCGCUUAGUGUCUCUUAUCUAAACAGAUUACGGUGCUCUUAUCUUAUCUUUACAUUAUUAAUGAUCUUCAUAAUCUUAUUACUGGCACAAGACUUUGUUAUCUAGUACAUAUUCAUAUUUACAUAUGUCGGUAUUAUAUUUCUGCAGCAUAAUUUUGAUUAAUUUCUAUAUGCUUUCCAUUCUUAAUGACCACUUAAUCCAUACAUACAGGUGAAGAAAGGCCAUUUUGAUCCUGAAUGAAGUUGUAGCUGUAUAAUAUGAAAGGGGCCUGAUAACAAAUAUACAUACAUUUCUCUGUAGUUUAGUAUGCAAGGGUUUUUGGCAUUCGAAUUCGUAGAUUUUGUGUAAUAUGAGGUUUGCUGAUACCAAAUUCAUUCUGGAUUAGGCAGAGAGCUGUAUCAUCUAUAUAUAAUUGAUCGUGUUCGAUUCGCUGCCAACGACGGCAUUUCAAGGCCAAUUUUGUUGUGUAGCUCUAUUUAGGGGUAAAAAAAGAAGAAAUGUUUCAAUCGAGUUCAUCAAUAGUAAUUCUGAUUCAGAUUAACUUCCCAUAUGUUUUCGCGGUGCCAGAUUUGGAAUUGUAUUAUCCCUUUUGUAUUCCAGUUGGGUCUGGUGGUAAUGGUUUGUUGAUUUCUUACCCUUCACAGCAUUCGGCGUGCAGCUUCUUCGAAGAUUGGUACAUGUGAUUGAUCAAAAAGAGUAGAACAAGCACAUUCCCUCCUUUCUUUGUGGUUUUUCGCAUCAAAUAGGGGUGCUUCUUCAAGUUUGUAUGGACAAUCACAUUUCCUCGAGUAGCUAACCUCCAUAAUUAUUGAUAAGUUGGACAAAAUAUAGUUCCAACUUACUGAGGCCUAAUUCAGUCAGAAAUGCUUAGUUUUCCGAAUUCCGCUCAGCAGUGAUUUGUAAGGCUUAGUUGAUCCAAAAUCAUUUUCAGGAGAAUAUAAGCAUCGUAUAUUGAAUCAGUUUGAGGCUCAAAUACUCACUCAAUUUAAGCUUAUUUUAAGCAAGAAUACAUAAAUGAUCACUGCCAAUAAAAGAAUAUUGUAAAUCGGACUUACAAAUGUAAUCAAUCAAUUUAGAAACUAGAGCAAAGUGUGCUCACAAUACCUGAAAGUAUUUUCCAUACAAUUUGUUCAAACACAAAAUGUCGCACUUAAGGCAAUGUAGUUAUUCACGACAACAAAACAUCGUCAAGAUGGAAAACCCAGAAACAAGAGACUAAACGUUUAUUCCAACCUUCCAUGCAAACAAGGCAAUGGAAGAACAUUGGUGUAGGUAAAAUAUCUGCCGAAGAAAUGAGAUGCAAGCUUUCAUCACAACCAACCCAGAAAAUGAUCUUCGGUCCUGCAGAAAGGCAAUACAUAUCAAUUAAAAUCAUGCUAAAAUUUCAUUAUUAUAGUACAAACGCUCACCAUUUUAUCGACUCUUUUGUAAUCAUCUUUCAUUAAGAAUCACUUCAACGUUUUCCAUCUGUCUUAACGAAUGGAAAGAACGAAUUGUCCUCGAAGAAGUUCAGAAGCCCAGAGAGACUUAACUUGACAAAACAGAAUCCAUAAAUAAGACUGGCUAAGAUUAACUGCUUUAAGAAAAGAGCAGGAUAACACUGUCAAACAUAUCACAUGGAAGGGGAAAAAAAAACACCGCAAGGGCAAGAGAAUUUAGAUGAAAAACGUGAUGCAUCAUUGUAUGAAUUUGAAUUACACUCGAUUAGAGUGCUGCCACCAUCAUAUAUUUUAAGUGAAUUUCGUAGUAGACACACCUCAAGAAAACAUACUAUAUAUCUCCCCUCAAUUAGUGGAUUAAAGCAAACUUCUAUCACCGGAUGCAAGAUAAUUUGGUCCAGCAAUAUUUGAGAGCAUGCCACACGCAAACUUUUCUCUGAGCCCUAUUUCUCACCAUGGAACCCCUCCACCCUAACCACCUCUAGUAUGCACCGGUUUAAUUAUCUAUGCCUCCAAUCUACUGUGCUUGCCCAAAACUACACUACCCUGAUCAUUUGAAGAGCUAUCAUCACUUCAUUCAUGCCUGUUUAUUUGUUCAAUCAACAAGUAACAUCGAGUUCAACAAGUAACAUCGAGUUAAAGACAAUGUGGCAUAAAAAGGUGAUAUAAAGGCAUUGUCCUCUAAGCACAUCAAGCAGCCAGCAAUUAAAUUGAUACUAGAGAGAAAGCAAAUUUCUUUAUCGACCAAAAGCCUCUGAUCAGACACAUGUCAACAGAUGAAGAAAGAAACAAUCCUAGAUUCCUACUCCUGCACAAGAUGAAUCCAACACCACAAUGUCAUCAAUGAAUGAUAGUAGUUGGUAUAACUAUUCAGAUAUGGUUCAUCUGUUUCGCCAACAAUUAACAGCCGAAAAUUCAAUUUCUGCAUUGACAUAAGCUCCCUGAUUCAAAUACAAGUUGCCAAAAAAAAAAAGCGCUAAACCACCCUGCAUUCCAAUCCCUAUUCAAGGCGGAUCAACACCAGAAGAAACCAUAUUAGUGUUUAAAUCUGGUGGAUCUACCAUCUAUAAAUAGAUAAAAACUCUUCUUUUUUUUUUUGUGUGUGUGUGUGUGUGACCUAAACGCCCAGAUCAAACACAUGACACCAAUCAAAGAAACCAAAACUAAACAAAAUCCUAGAUUCUUAUUCCCAUCCAAAAUGAAUCUAACACCAUAAGAAUGCCACUAAUGAGUGUAAACACCAUAGCAUUAGUGUUUAAACCUUGUUGAUCUACUUUAUCGUCUAUUAUAAUCAACAAAAAUUCUAAUUGUUUCAUCAACUUAAAACUCCCCGAUCCAACACAUGCUACCAAACAAUGAAACUGAAACUAAACAAAACCCCAGAAUCUACUCCCAUCCGAGAUGAAUUAAACACCUUGAGCACGCCUCUGCUGAUCGAAAGUAGUCACUAUGUAGGUUUCCAUUUCAUGAUCUGGUAUGAAUACAAAAAUCGAUUUUUCCUGUUAAACUAAACUCCCUGAUCCAAAGCAUCCCACAAAACGAAGAAACCAACAUUAACCAAAAUGGUAAAUUCCCAUCCACCCGAGUUGAAUCAAACACCAAAAGAAUGCAACCGACCAAUAACAUAUAGCACCAUCCAAGUGUCUAACUCUCGUUGAUCUACUGUAGCAUAAUAUAUAACCAACAAAAAUUCGAUUUUUCUUUUUCUCAUCAACCUAAACUUCCCGAUCCGACAUCCGACACCAAUUUGACGAAACCAAGACUAAACAAAACCCUAGAUUCCAAUCGUUCUCCAAGAUGAAUCUAGUUAGAAAGAUUGAGCAAUUAGGAUUUCGAUUUGGGACCUGGGGGCGGCGGGAUCAGUGGUGGCCGCCGCCUCCUCCGGCGGCGGCGGCAGCUUGCUGGUGCUCGAGGUGGCGGCGCUCGUGGGGGAGGGCGACGAGGUAGGAGAAGAUCAUGCCGCCGAUGCAGACGUGGAAGAGGGGCUCGACGGAGCUCGUCUCGAUGUACUUCUCGAUGUAGCGGUCCACGGCCUGGUCCGCGCUCUUCUUGAUGUAAUCCCACGUGAGCCGCGGCUUCAGGUACCCGGGGAGCUCCCUCACCUUCAUCCCCUUGAUCUCGUUGUAGAACGUGCGCAGCGCCAUGGAUGAGCAACGCCCCGUCGGAAACCCUAACCCUAGCUUUUCAAUUCGACAGAGAUUAGAGACGACGAACGGAAACCCUAACCCAGAUUAGAUACCACGGGGGACGGACGAUGAGAAGUGCGAGUAGAAUACAAAACAACAGUGAUGGAUAAUUUCAUAUGCACCCCUGUACGUUUUAAAAUUAUCUACAGCUCCCUAAAAGUUUUAAUUAUUAAAUAAAUAUAUCCUUCCAACGCUCGAAAAUAUUCAAAUUUUGUUCUUACAAUUUGAGUAUUUGUUAGUAGAUUUUGCCCUUACAAAAAGUAAUUUGUAAAUUUCUUUUUAAUUUAUAAUUUAUAGUUCACAUAAAGUGGUAAAAUAUAUAGAAUAUUAGUAAUAAUAAAUGAUGUUGAAUAAUAUUUAAUAAAGUUCAGACACAUAUUUGUGAAAGGGCUCACGAUUUGGAGUUUGUAUAUUUUUAUCUGCACGUGAAUAUGAUGAAUCAUUCUUUCAAAAAAAAACCCUUUAUAAAAUUUAAAAUUGUAAAAGAAUCUUAGUAUUCUAAAUUAUGGAUUUUUAAAUAUAUAAAAUAGUGAUAUCAUGUUGUUUAUUUAAAUUAAACCACAAAACACUAGAUUUUGAAUUGCUCUUAUUUUAACUCUAGAUAGAAUUAAAGUGAAGUAAAUAUAAAUACAAAAAUAUUCUGAAAUAAGAUAAAGGUUUAUUUAAAGAAGGCAAAUUUUUUUGUAGCAACCAUGUUCAGUAUUUUAUUUCAAUUUAGAUCAGAUCUCCCAACAAUAAAAAAAAAAAGUGUUUUUUACAUAAAAAAGGAACUGCUUUCUUCAGCAAUCACCUUUAGCGGAUUUAUACAUCAUAAAUUAAAAUAUUAAUUUAUUUUAAAUUCUUUCCAUGUUACAUAAGAUUACUUGUGAUUAUUUAUUUAUGCAUCGCAUGCGUGUAAAUCUAGUAGGCAAAUAUAAUUAUUUCUAAUAAAACAAAAGCGUUACCUAAAAAAUGGGCCAUGAUAGCCUUGUGAUAGAAGUAGCCCAAUUCUGGGCAUUAAAUCAAUUACAUUUGAACAACAGAAUCUCAAAACAAAGCACAAUAUUCAAACACUAGGUUAUAUAUAUAGUGUAGAGCUACUAUGCUAUCGGAGCACAGAGGAUUUGAUGCUUCCGAUUUUUUGAUCCUUGGAUCAAGAAUUAUACGGUUGGGAUGAUUGUAGUCUCCCUUAGGAUUGAGUAAUACCUCUAAGGUUGAGUGGUCCCCACAGAAUAAUAAUAUUAAUCCAAAUGUUAGAAAUGAUUAAAAAAGCCGAUCUUAGGUUCAAAAAGUUUGAAGCACCAGAUUCUUCAUACUUUCGAUAGCAUAGUAGCUCUACUCUCUCUCUCUCUCUCUCUCUAUCUCGUCAUCUCUGUAUAUAUAUAUAUAUAUAUAUAUAAGAGAGAGAGAGAGAGAGAGAGAGAGAGAGUCCUGCCUACAGUGCUAUCGGAAGGUUAUAGAGCACUUGGUGCCAUCCAACUUUUUGUCUUUCGAAAUCACACCUCUGAACCAUUUCCGUACCUCGUUGAUUCAUACUAUUCAACAAAUCACAUACUCAACCCUAGGGGACCACUAUCAUCCUAACCGCACAUCGCUUUAUUCAAUAGCCGAAAAUUUAAUAGCACAUGUCAUUGGUGCUAUUAAUAGUAUUCUAGUCUAGUUCUAUAUAUAUAUAUAUAUAUAUAUAUAUAUAUAUAAAAUUAAGCUAGAAUACUUUUAGAAGUACCAAUCCGUUGGUGCUUCUAGGUUUUUAGCCUUUGGAUCUACUUCUUAAUUACUAAUAGCCUUUAGAUCAAACACUAUUGCGCCUACCACCAUCUACCACCAUCAUCCCAACCCUACAUAUCUCUCUAUCCAAUGGCUAAAAAUUCAAAAGCACCACUCACUUGGUGCUUUUGGAAGUAUUCUAGCUCAACUCUCUCUCUCUCUCUCUCUCUCUCUCUCUCUCUCUCUCUAUAUAUAUAUAUAUAUGAAUUAGAACUAGGCUACUAUGCUAUUAAUAGCACCAAGUCAUUAGUGCUACCAAGUUUUUGGCUAUUGGAUUAAGAAAUGUGCAGUUAGGAUUAUGUGGACACCCUAGGGUUGAGUGAGUGGUUAGUUGAAUAGUAUGAUCUAACGGGUGAAAAGAAUCAAAAAGGUAAAUCUAACGGUAGAAAACUUGGUAGCACCAAGUGCUUCGUGCUAUUAAUAGCAUAGUAGCCGGACUCAUUAGAACUAUAUAUAUAUAUAUAUAUAUAGUUUAAGGGAUAUGAUAUUUUUUCCCCUUAUUUUCUUACCAUUAAAAUUGUCCUAAUAUCAACUCCAAGGGACAAAAGACAAAAGAAAAAAGAAAAAAGAAAAAAAAAACUAACAUAACGGCCGCGAAACUCUCUCUAUACCACCACCCCGUUUAUCACACACGUGCACCCCCUUUUCAUCCUCUAUCUCAGCCUCCUCCAAAGAGACAACGGGCGUGGUGUUAGUAAAAUAGGGGGUGCAAAUAUCAAACCUCGCCCCCCAGGGAGGUUCCGGAGGUGGCGGUUGGUAUAAAUACUCACGGUUACUAUUCUCGGACACACAUCGUUCGAUCCCUCUCUCUCUCUCCUCUCUCUCAUCUCUCAUCUCUCUCUUCUUUCUCCUCGAUUCGCACUCGCAAUUAGGGUUAGGGUUAGGGGUGGGGUCUCAGCAGGAGCAGGUGCUCCGAGGGACGGGGUGGGGGAGGAGAUGGGGACGCUCCAGACGUGGCGAAAGGCCUACGGAGCACUCAAGGACUCCACCAAGGUCGGCCUCGCCAAGGUCAACAGCGAAUUCAAGGUUCGAUCUCCUCGCAUAUGAUCCCGAUUUCAGCGAAUCAUGGCUUGAAUUCGAUUCAAUUUGUGGCGAUUUUGAUCCUACUUUUCCUGGGGAUUGAUUUGAUGGUAGGAGCUGGACAUCGCGAUCGUGAAGGCCACAAACCACGUCGAAUGCCCGCCCAAGGAGCGGCACGUCCGAAGUGAGUUGUAAUUUUGGACCGAGAUUUUUGUUCUUUUGGAAUUGAGGAUUCUGAGUUUUGAAUCAGAUGCUUUUCAAGCUGAAAAUGUCUGAUUUACGAUUCCAUCUGAUUUUAUUCUUUGCCUUUUUUCAAAAAAAAUUUGCCACAUGUUUUGAUGUCCUUUUGGUUAAUUUGCAUCGGAUUCAGGAAUUUUUGCAGCAACCUCCGUCGUCCGCCCGAGGGCUGAUGUUGCUUAUUGCAUAUACGCACUUGCGAGAAGGCUCUCCAAGACGCGUAAUUGGACGGUAUGAAUUUUUUUCUAUAAUUUCCUUAAUUUUCCAUUUAAAUUUCUUUUGUAUGUCGAACCUUUAGAUCUGAGCUUACUGCUGUUCUUUAUUACGUCAUCUUUUUUUAAUUGGUAUUAUCUAUCUUUUGUGCCUCAUUGUGACUAAACGAAAUUAUUAAUGCAACAAUUGUAAUCAAGUAGUUUCCUUUGCCUCUUUGUUUAGUUCUAUUAUGCUCCAGAUUUCUAGGUUGUCCUUGUGUUUCCAGUCGCAAUAUAUUCCAAAAUAUGAGCUAUUUUCGGAAUGAUUUCGAUGCAAUACACUAGCAAUUUUGGUUUGAUGAUUUGGCGAAGAAGUUAUAGAUUGAUAGUUGGAAAUUUUUCGCUAAUGAACAAUGAUGGUUUGGUCAAAUAUUACAGGUCGCGUUGAAAACAUUGAUAGUUAUUCACCGACUACUGCGGGAGGGUGAUCCAACAUUCAAGGAGGAAUUUUUGAGCUAUUCUUACAGAGGAAAUAUUUUGCAGAUAUCCAACUUUAAGGAUGACUCAAGUCCUUUAGGUUGGUUUUUUGUAAUAUUGUCAGCAGCUAAUUUUACUGUUUUAUAGAAUUUACUUCCAUUUUGCACGGAGAAUAUGGUCGAUUAUAUAAUUCUCUACCAUGCCCAUUUUGUAGCUUGGGAUUGCUCCGCAUGGGUCCGAACGUAUGCGCUCUUCCUCGAGGAAAGGCUCGAAUGCUUUAGGACUUUAAAGUAUGAUAUUGAAGCCGAGCGGUUAAUAAGAUCUCCACAGAGUUCUGGCAAGGUAUUCUUAGCUGACUUUCUCUUAAGCCAGUGAAAUCUGAAUUUUUGUUUUUGCCCUUCGAAAACUUAGUUUCUUAUAAACACACCUUUGUACUUUGAAAAAUACCCCUCAUCAAAAUAUUCAGAUUGUACAAGGGUACAAUUGUAAAUUGAACUUCUUGUGGGGAUCUGUGUUUGUGUAUGCAAAAACCAAUUUUUUUGUUUGUUAUUUCCACUAAGAAAAUCUCCUGCAAAAUUCAGGGGCAUAGUAGAACAAGAACUCUAGGUUGCGCAGAUCUUUUAGAUCAGUUGCCUGCAUUGCAACAGCUGCUUUUUCGCCUAAUUGGCUGCCAGGUUCUUUUUUUUUAACUUUGUUUUUAAUUAAAUGACUGUAGCAUACUUUUGAUUAUUUAUCGCUACCUUUCAUCUUUUUUUUCUUAAUUCACUUCAUUACUUGGUUAUUUUGUUAUUAUAGCCUGAAGGUGGAGCUUGUGCAAACUAUCUUAUACAGUAUGCAUUAGCUCUGGUAUUCUCCAUUCAUUAACCUUUUUUUGUUUUUUCAAUCCGCAUCCAUCUAUUCACUUUCUCUUGAUAGAAACAAAUUUUAGUCCCUUUUCAGGUGCUUUCACGAAACUAACGGCGAUUUCCUGUGCUUUUAUAGGUUUUGAAAGAGAGCUUCAAAAUCUAUUGUUCAAUUAACGACGGGAUUAUUAAUCUGGUGGAUAUGGUAAUCAUACUUAUCCUUCAAUUUCUCUUAAUGAAACAAAUGAAGCACUUCAGUUUUAUAUUUCCAUUAGUCACUUCUUUUAUAUUCAAUUCAGUUUUUCGAGAUGCCAAAAUACGAUGCCAUCAAAGCCCUCGAAAUCUAUAAACGAGCUGGCCAGCAGGUUUUCCCCGCUUCUUAAGAAGUUCCUUUCGUGCAUUGUCGUAAUAUUGCUAAACUAAGUUCUCUAAUCUUAAAUUAUCUUGUAUACAUAAUUUUGCUGAGCCCUUUGGUUGCGCGAUCCAUUUCAUUAUUCUUCACAGGCUGAAAACCUUUCGGAUUUUUAUGAAUUCUGCAAACAUCUUGACCUGGCUAGGAACUUUCAAUUUCCUACUCUGAGACAGGUAUCUUUUAUCUCUACUAGGUUCAAACAGUAUGCAAUCUUAUUUAAACAAAUAAGCCUAUGUAAAUCAAUGUUUGAGAUUGAACACAAGAAUUAACAUCAACCAUAGAUUGGUAUCUUAUUCCUGCUUAAGGAGACUUUAUUCUCACUUGAAAGGACACAGAUGUAAACCUGAUUUGGAGCAUUAUGUUCCCUGCUUAGUGUCAUCAUAUGGAUUUUCAUUUUACAGCCACCACCUUCAUUUCUUGCAACAAUGGAAGAGUACAUCAGAGAAGCACCUCGGAUUGGCUCAGUUUCAAGUAAGGCAUUGGUAAGCAUGUUUCACUAUCUAGUAAUUCUGAUGCACCUCAUACGCAUUUGAAUAUAUUCUGAUAUAAACUGUAAUAGAUUUAAAAAAAACAUUAUACAACAUCAAAAGGCUUUCAUUCGAAGUACACUGAAUAAGUUGGAAAGGUGAAAUAUACGGAAAAUGGAAAAAAAGAGAGAAAACAAUAAGAGUAAGAAAAACGGAUUAGACAUACCUACAGAUUUUCUUUUCUCUAUCCAAGUUUCUAAUUUCUUUUCUUCUUCCUUGCAUUCUUGGCAAAUUGUUAAGCACACCUUCCUACUUGAUGACAUUUGUGAAAAAUGUGAUCUCAUUUUGCUUUCUUAAUAGAUAUAUGAAUUUGGCAUUCCUCAUAGAAGGAGAAGUAAAAUUAGUUACUUUACUUACAUGUUUAUUAUGUAAUUGGCUUUUCUCUUUGCUACCCUUCUGAGAGAUCUUUCAUAAAAUGAAUUUAUUUUGAUUUUUUACUGUUUGGGAAUCAGGAAUAUCAAGAGAAAAAUCUGCUAACCUACAAUCAAGAGGAAGCUCCUCCUGAAAGCGAAAAGCCUGUCGAAGAACAGAAAGAAGAACAACCCGCAGAACCUGAAGAACAGCCAGAGCCUGAAGCUCAGGCUGCUGAACCUGAGCCUCAACCUAUAACUACAGGAGAUUUAUUGGUGAUUUUGCUUUACAAUGUCCUAUUGGCUCUCUCGGCAACUUAUUUUCUAAAUUAAGAAAUGUAUCUAUAUUUUGGUGUCAUCAUGCAGGGUUUGGAUGAAAUAAGUCCUGUUGCUGCUGAACUUGAACAAAGCAACAUGUUGGCUCUAGCCAUUGUUGCACCAGGUAGUUUUGGUGUCUUGCUUUGUUUACUCUUUUCAGGGAAAAAAGAAAAAGAAACUACUUUGCCUACCACUCUCCUUAAGUAACCUUGACUAGGAAAUUAUAUGAUUUGAUUCUACUUGUUCAUAUUGUGUGGUUAAUUUCUGCAAAUUUUGUCACUAAUUGAUACUUGUUUUUUGAUCUAUAGGUGAAGAUACAAAGUCCUCGACGACUACUGACUUGCUUGGUGGUAAUACUACUGGGUGGGAAUUAGCACUAGUGACUACUCCAAGCAACAAUACUAGCCAUGUGGUUGAAAGCAAACUGGUUUGUGACAUUCUAUCCUUUAUUAUUUUAUUUGUCCAAUUGAUAGUUUGAAUUAAUAUUCUAUUUUCUAGAGAGUUAAGGCACACAAAUAGUUUCACUUAGAAAGAGCGAAAGUUGUUUCCGAAACGAAAGGUCAGGAGCAUGUGCAGUGACAAAAAGCCCAAUCGAAAGCUUCUGCUUUCUGCUGCAGCAUGGAGCUAUCAAGAAGAUCUCAACAAAAAAAGCUUCAGUGCUUCUUUGACCAGCUCUAACCAUCAAAUAUCAUUUCUGCAAAAGCUCAAUGCGGGGCAAACAAGACCAAUUGUCCAAUCCCUAUAAUGCAGACAAAGAAGUUUUCAUAUUUCUCACUCUAGGAAUCUGAAUCAACUCGGCAGGCUGGCGGGUUCGACAAGCUGCUUCUUGACAGCCUCUAUGAAGAUGAGGCAAGGAGGCAGCAAAUUGUGGGAGGUACCUAUGCAGGUAGUCUUGCAGCAAAUACAUACGAACCCAACCACGAUCCAUUUGCCAUGUCCAAUACCUUCGCACCACCGUCCAGUGUUCAACUGGCAUUAAUGCAGCAACAACAGCAGCAGUAUUAUUAUCAGCAGCAGCUACUGCAGCAGCAACAACAACAACAGUAUUAUAACUCACAACAGCAUAUGAUGAUGAUGGUUCCUCAUACCUACCAACCACAACAAUACUCUAAUCCUCAGACAGCUAAUGCAAACCCCUUCGGUGAUCCAUUUGCUGCGUUGCCACCGAGUGGUCCUCAACAAGGCAAUCCGCAUUUAAUUUGAAAUAAACUUAAAUUGUCGAUAACUUGUAAGUUGUUCGCACUUCUUCGAGGAAUUAUUAUCUAUGAUUCAUAUAGAAUGGUGGUGAAGUUUAGAUCAACGGGUUGUAUAGUCGAGUAAUUUAUACUGAAGUGAAGGAAGGGGGUUAAUGAUUCUUUCUUCUGGGAAUUAUUCUCUAUUUGUUUCGGGCACAUGCUUUGUAUUGUUGAUUCUUUGAAAAUAAAUUGGUUAAUUGUAAUGCAUAAAGAUUUUGGACAGAUUUUUUGCGCUUCUGGGUUUCGAAUUUUCGACCUGACAAAAAGCAGGUGUAGCUUGAGUGAAGUUUGGAAUUAGGGUUAGACGUUUAGAUCGAAAGAAGCGUAAAUUUUAAGAUGGAUGUAACACAAAUGAACUUGAUUGUAUCAAAUAACAGAGGUGUGAAACCUGUAGCAACUUAUGUAAGUAGAGAGCCAAACUGAAACUAUAACCUCGUGAAGAGUCAGAAAAGCAUUUUUUGCAGCUCACUACACAGAAUUUUUCUGCACAUUUACCGGCUAAGAUGCCCAUAUGAAAUGCCGAUCUUAUUUCCGUUAAAAUGAUGGUCUAAAGAUGGCGCAAAAGUAGAAUCCGGUGGAGUUGAUUACCACCGUAUUAAUUAUCAUGCUAUCGAUGUGUAUGAAAUUUCUGUGCAUAGGACCACAGGAAAUUUACACCCUUCAAUUGUUUGGAGGACGUUCGUAGCCUAUGGAGAAGGGCUUAUAGCCUAGACGAUGCUGGGAAGAGCACUAAAAGUUCAACCCUCGUGUCAGCCACUUGGUGGGUGGUCUGGACAGAAAGGAACAACUAUAUCUUCCACGACAGCUAUCCCCUUCCUUACCACUCGUUGGAGCGUGUCAAACACUUGAUCACCGCGUGGAAUGAUCUAUCCGCCGACCCUUGAUCCUCUCUCCCCUAUCACUUAGCUCUCCACUUACCUCCUCGCUACCCCUCUCUCUUUUUUUUUUUUUUUUUUUUUUUUUUUUUUUUUUUUUUUUUCCUUUUCUUUAUGAGCAAUGCUCCUAUACACCAAAAACAUCUUAACCAUUAAAAUUUUUUAAAUGGACGGCUAAGAUGCACCCUUUAAAAGAGAAUGACCGGUAUUUGAUACCAUCGGUACCGGUCAACUCUUAACAGGGCAAAUUUCUUUUUUUUUGCAACAAGGGCAUUUUGGUAAAUUUACAUCUUAUAACAUGUAAAAUAUCUAUUAACUCAUAUGGAAAGUUUUCACCCACCCACCAUUAUCUUUUCUCUUCUCGGAAGCUGUUUUUUCUUUUCUUUUCUUUUCUUUUUUUUCUUUUCCCACCCACCAUCUUCUUUCCUCUUCUCCGAAGCUGUUAAAUUUGUUUCUAAUUUAAAAUUUUUUGCAUCGAAAAUUAUAUGUAAAUAUAAAAUAUUGCAACUGAAAAAUUAUAUUAUACAAUUUCUUAGUAAUUGAAUAUGAAAUAUUAUCCCCAAGUGAAUGUUUGAAAGUUAAUUUUCAAACAUAGAAUAAUUUAAUUUAAAUAGUUAACAAAUUUUAUUUUUUUAACUAUAAUAUAAACUAAAUCUAAAAUUCAAUUUUAAUUUUAAUUAAUAUUUUUGAACUUUAAUAUUGUUUUUACUAUCGAAUGAACAAUUUUGAAUUUAAUUUUAAAAAUAGAAGCCUUUAAUUUAAAUAAAAAAUAAAAGUUAUUACUAUUCAUUUAAACAUAAAUUUUUUCAUUCAGAAAAUAAAAUUAAAAUUAAAAUUGAAUUUAAUGUACACAAUUAUCUAAUUUGGUAACUGACAAAAUUAAACAAGGAAACAUAUAUUCGUGUAGGGUUGAUUAAAUUUGGUAAUUAGUUUUUAUUUGUUUUCCCAUAUUAUCCUUACUAAUAGUAACCUGUUGAGUAGGUAACUACACGAAUAGUAACCUGUUGAGCAGGUAACUAUCUGGUGUAUUGAAGUAUUUCUCUUAUUUUUUAUCUUUUUUCGGAAGCCUCGACUGUUUUUUACUAUGCAAGUCUAGUUCAUUUUAUCUAAUGAAUAAAGCAGAUAGCUCGCUAUCUUUUUCUCAAAAAAAAAUUUGUUUGGAGAUUGCUUGCUAAACUUUUCCUCAACGACUAAAGAAUUUGUGGCUGUUUUCCCUUUGAAUACGUAGUUUUGUAUUCAAGGAAGACACAACUGAUAGUGACUAAUGAAGCUUGGUUAGUUGAUAAGAAAAUCUUUCUUUAACAUAAAAUUACAAAAAAUAAUUUUGAUUAAAUAUUUAUGUUUUGCAUAAAAAUAUAAAUAUAAUUUUAAUAUCACAACUUUGGGCUAAUAUUAAAGUAAAUAUUGAAGGAUGGCCACAAAAUUCCAAAUUGAGAUGUUUGAUAGAAAUCGAUGAGUUUGGAAAUUUGUUUUUGAGCGAGAUAGGUAGCACGCUACCCGCUUCGUUUAUUUCAUUUAGAAAUAAGCUUAACUUGAAAUAUGAAUUAACUAGGAUUCGAACUUGAGACCUCAGGUACCUACCACCAAAUUGUUUGCCAUUUGCUCUAAAAACAGUUGAUAGUACGCAAAUUUGUUAGAACUAGUAUCUUCGGCCUUUGGAUAAAAUUAUAUUAGUUAUUUAUUUAUUAUAUUUUAAUUUACUAGUUUUCAAAGUAUAAUAAUAUCGUAUGCCUAGAGAACUGUGUAGGAGAUAAACAUGCUAUCGUUUCAGGGUUUCAAUAAUUUUUGUUUGGACUUUUUCUAGUAUGAUUAUAGCUCAGAAGUUUGAUUUUUUUUUUCCUUUAAAGGUUUUGCUGUAUAUGCAUUAAUAGAACAUCAUAUUUUAUCUACGGACUAAUUUUUCUUAUUAUGAGAAAAAUGAUUUAUAGGCCGAAUAUGUUAUUACAUUUUAAAUAUUUGAUCAUAUUUCUUAUUUAUCAAGCAUAAAAAUUUUUUGAAUAAAUCAAAAAAUAUAUCAAAUAAGAUAUUUAUACAUCUAAAUAAAAACUUCGGUGAAGCAAACAUAGAGAGUGGAAAAAUUUUGUGAAUCGUAAAUUUUCUAUCAAAUAAACAACAUAUAAGUAGAAAAACUUUACUUUCACAAAUAUAUCACAACUAUAAAAAACAAACAGUAAAUAAAAAAUAAUUUCUAUCUAAAUUUUAAUUUAAUUAAAAUUUUAUUUUGAAAUGAACUGCACGACCGGUAGAACAAAAGGAGGACUAAAUUGCAUUGCCAGUCCCUCAACUGUUUGUUAGUUUUAUUUUAGUCCUUGGUAGGAUUUGAAAGGUAAGUGCUCAAACCGUGGAGACCUGGCAAACGGGCGGGUUGGGUAACCCGCGAGCCGGUCGUUGUACCCGCGGAUUACUUGGGCAUGGGUAAAAUUUACCCGCAAAUUUUUUGAUAGCCAACAUCUUUACUCAUACACGCCCACAGGUGGGCGGGUGGGUACGCGGGUUACCCGCAAUUUUUUUCUUUUUUUCUCUUAUAUUUUUAAAUGCAAAUAUAUAUAUAAGCUUUAAAAAUAUAACAUAAUUCAUUAUUUAAAAUAUCAUAAUAUACAAUAAAAAUAUUUAAAAUCUUAAAACAAAAAAAAUUCGCAAUAUAAAAGAUGCGAUAAGAAAUUAGGAUAAAUAAAUAAAAAUAUAUAUAUUUUAAUUAAAAAAGUAUAUUUUUUAAUUAAAAAAUAAAUGUGCGGGUAUCCGGGAUACCCGCGGGUUAUCCAAAAUAUCCAUAGCUUAAUGGGUACCCACCCGUUUUAUCCGUAAUUUUUUGGGUUUAAAAAGUUGAUACACAUACCCAUACAACCACCCUUCGCUUGCGUUAUCCAACGCAUUACCUCUCCAUUACCGUUCCCAUCUCCUCUCUCUCUCUCUCUCUCUCUCUCUCUCUCUCAUGGCUCGCCUCCUCUCGCAAACCCUAGUCCGCGACCCCGUCCACGCCCUCGCCCGCCUCCCCUCCGCCGCCUCCGUCCUCGUCGGCGGCCGCCGCGGCCGCUCGAGCCGCCCCGAGAAGGUGGAGCUCGUCGAGGUGGAGAUAGAGGCUGAGUCGCCGGAGACGGAGCUCCUCGGCGCGCGGCGCCUCGAGGAGGCGAUCCACCGCGUCCUCGCGCGGCGAUCCGCCCCCGAGUGGCUCCCCUUCGUCCCCGGCGCCUCUUACUGGGUCCCGCCACCGCGGCCGCUGGGGCGGGGGCGGCGGAGGCGGGGCCGGGCCCUCGGCCUCGUCGAGAUCGUUGGCGCCCACGUUUUUAGCCCCAUGACGGAGGAGGAGGAGCUCUCCUUCACCACCGCGCGGGGAUGGCCCUCGUCCGAGUACUUCGUGGAAGGUGAGAUCCGAGAUCGCGGUUAGGGUUUGUGAUUUCGCGUAGUUGUGGCUUUGAUCUGUGGUAAAUUGCUCGGAAUUGAUGGAAUUUAGUUGAUUCGUGAUUUGCUUGGGCUAAAAAGCGACACCUUUAAGAUCCCCGGUGGUUUUUGGUCAAUGUUACCCUGAUGAUCUAUAAUUUGGGGAUAUUUGCAAUUGUCAUUUUCUUAAUUAAUUAAGCUUUGAACAUAAUGUUAUUUACUCAGAUUUCCUGAUCUAUCAUAGGCCUAUGGCUUUUUCUUAGAUUCUUUUUUUUUUAUCUGUAAAAAGGGAAAUAAGUUACUAAUCAAGCUCCUGUUUUUGAAAUCCUGGACUUUUGGUUUAGUCAUAUUGUAGAAAAUUGAAAUUUUAGUUGAUUUUUUGGGCUUUUAAGUUAAUCUUUUAAGCUUAUUAUUAAGAUGUGAAUGCAACUUUGUCAAUUUGAAAGCAAAUAAAAUCUCCUCAGUCGCAGGCAAAUUAGCUGAUCAGUAUAUGUUGAAAAUAUUUGAUAUGUAUGUUAUUUGUGUGAUUGAUUAGUGGUCAUUCACAUAUGGAUUCGCUGAUGAUUACUUGAUCUAACGUGGUUUAUUGCAUAUUGUAUACGCACAGAAUUCUUAGAUUUUGUUCAUCUGAGGUUAGAUAGUUACUAUUGUUUCAGUUGAAACUUGAAACCUCAUUUAUAAGAACUGCACCUACUGUGAAACUAGGGAGUCUGGCAAUAAUCUAUGUUCGUAUUCAUGUAUACGUGUGCAAUUUGUUGUAUGUACAUAUGUAUUCAAAUUGUACGUAUUUCAGUAAGAUGACAAUCCAUGAGUAAAUGUCAAAUUGCUUUCGUUGGUUGUUAUCUCGAUAUUAAUCCUCUAAAACGUAGUGCUAAAACUUCAACAAAUACAUGAUUCGUGUAGUAGGACAGAUGUGUUCGAGCUUCAUCUUAUAAGAGGAUGGAGAAUCUAGAUUUGAGAAAUACCCUUCCUCUCAUUUGAUUGGUAAACUUCAUUGAUUAACAGGUGUGUCUCCACAUACAGUGAAGAGCAGGCCAGAAGUUGUCACAAUUCUAAGCGAUGAUGAAGAAAGUUGAGUGCUUUUCCAGCGGAACAAUGGAACAUGGAGUGAGUUAUUUCCGACCCCUUCUGUAUGACGAACUUUUAUCUACUUGCUGCAUUGUAAUAUCAUAUUUGACUUGGCCAGGGCCUUCUGCAAAAAAAAAGCUUCUUUCUUUUUCAUUUGUAUACUUGAAAUACCUCACAAGCUCCGCAUUGUAGCUACAAGCACGGAGCUUCAAAUUGGAACUUUUGCUUUUAGAACCCGUAAGCUUAUCUAACUCCUAACUUUGUGCUUGCCAAACGGGCGCUAGGCUUCUAUUUCUCGGAUAGAGAAGCUUCUCAAGAAGCUGAGUCAAACGAGCACUAAGAAUGGACAAGAUAUUUAAAGAUAGAAUGAUCAAGCAUCCAAACAGCCUCCUUUUUUGCUUAUCCAUUUCCUUAUAAAAUUAUUCCAGAUUUAAUCUAUGCUUUGUGGACAUCUUAAAAUAUGUGGAACUAAGCUGAAACUCUUCAAUGCGCAGGCUCUUUCGCACGUGGAUCGGAAUGCUUACGUCGCUGUCCGGCUGGCGCAGUUUGUACAUAAGAAGAAGGUUGAUGUAGCUUAACUUUGCUAUUAAGAUCAAAUGCUGCGAUGUAUCAUCCGUUGUAAUAACGAUGAAAAUUUAUAAAAUAACGAAGUUGUUAUAAUCGAUUCAGGAGGGACUUAACGGCGGUAAUGUUUCAGUUACAAACAUAAUUUUACAGAAGGGGUUGCAUUUUAUCGGUUCGUUGAAACCUGUGAUUAUGCACAAAGUUUGUAAUAGUUUGCGAACACAGCAGCUUUCGCCUACAUACAUGGCUUCUGCUUUUCGUGUUGCGAAAACAGCUUAAGCUGCUGCGGAAUUUUUUUUUUUAUUUUUUUUCCUGUGAUGAUGAUGUGAAUUGUUGGUCCAUUAUAUUCAAAAGCAAAUGAGUAAAGAUUUAUGAGAAUGGGACUCUUGAUUACAGGGCAUUCUGAGAUGACUUCCCCAAAUCUUUUAUUGCUGAUACUUUUUUUUUUUUUUAACCUUUUAUUUUUUUGGUUUUUUUUAGAUUGUAUGAUUUAGUUUAAGUAAAUUAAAAAUUUUAUUAUGUUUGUUAGGCAAAUUUAUUAAAUUUAAUAAUUUAACCGCUUGAUACCAAAUAAUACAAAAUAAUUAAUAGUUAAUUGUUAACAAAAUGAUCGAAUUUAAUAAAAAAAUUUUGUUUUAAUUAAAAAAUUAAAGAAUUAAAAAGU